rnacentral:lncRNA from 1 species
UGAGCUACGGUGGCACACGGUGGGCGACGACUAGGGCACUCUCGUAAUUCUAUCCCUUUUGCCUCCCCCUUUUUUCUUUUUUUCUUUUUCCUAAUUUAUUUACUCAUUUCCAUUAAAACAAAAUAAAUAAUAAAUAAAAUAAAAAAUAAAAAAUUAGGUGUUUCCUUUUCUUAGAUGUUGAUGUGAUGUAUCUCCCUCACGGCUUUUGUGUGUCCUGUUGUGCAAUAAAAUUAAAAAUAAAACCCCCAAAAAAAAAAAAAAAAAGUAGAGCUAGAGAGAGAAUGAGAGUGGAGUUUUUACUUUUUAGAGAGAGAAGGUGGAGGGUUUAGAGAGAGAGAGAGAGGGACAGGAUUUUACAAUGGGAGGAAAAAAAGGGGCAAGUGACAAACAGCGGGGAGGAGUUUAUGAGUUGUAAAGGCUCCACGUGCGGCACGUGUGGAGGAACCCGAGAUCUGGGCGAUUUAUCGCGAUAAAUUGAAGAGGAAAUAGACAAAGUGACGGUGAUUGAUUCUUUCUUUGCAUUUUUGGAACGCCUUCACUUUUACGUGCAUUAAAAGACAAGGAAAGUCUUGGGUGUGAGUGCUCACUGCUCACGCCCCUUCCCCUUGGACCACCACACCCCCACCCCAUCAUCCUACAAAUUUUAAUCAUCCCAUAAUGUAGCAGUGACGCACCAUCGUUGUUAAUUAUUUUACCUAUCUUACGUAACGUCAAAAGGAUAUUUGAUAAAAAUAAAAAAAAAAUUAAAAAAAAAAAGUCCAAGGGACAUGAAAGAUCAUGGUAAAGGUUUUUCCAUACAAGAAGGCCAAGUAACCGUUGGCAAUACCUUUUGAUUUUCAGCAACGGUGGGCUCUUCAGAGUAAAGCUUUUAUACUGACUUUAUACCUAACACAGCACAUUCCAGCCCUUUACUUGACCUUUUCAAACAGCUUACAUACAAAAUAUGCAAUUUUCUACACUGGGUUGUUCUACAAAGUCCGAAAAGGAUUGAGCAGCUGAUUUGCAUUCGGGUUGUUCUUUAGACCGAGACAGAUAGUAUUUUCCAAGGCAAAAAGGCUUUACUGUGAAGAGACGGUGACAAGUAUUUAAAUAGUAGGCAAGUGGGGUGGUUUUUGGAUGGCCUUUUUUCCAUUAAUAUUUUGUAUUGAAUGGAGGGUCUGUGUGUCUAUUCAUAAGUCGGUGAAUAAACCGUACCAUGGUGUGGUGAGUGGUCUCAUGCCUCAGUGACAUCAAUGCACUCUCUCAUGCCCCCUGCAGAGGUUAAUAACUGUACUGAAUCCGUCCAUAUCCACCAUCUGAUCUAUAUACUAUGGGUUUCCACUGAUUGGAUGGGAAUGGGGGGUGGGGGGUGGUCUAUUGUUGUUUUCAGUGGUCCUGACUCCACCUGAUGGUGUGGAGUGGGUACAUUGAUGGUAACAAACUAGGGAAGGGCAUUAUCAGUUUGAUUGAAACCAAUCACAUUUGUAGUCUGUGGUCUACCUGCCUUUUGGGGUAUGGACUCUCAUUGAAUCUGAUGAAGUAGUUGGAGACUUUAUGUCUAUUAUCUUAAUGGCACUAAUUAAUUGGCAUCUGGGGUUGGUAAAAUUGUAACUUUUUGGGGCAUGGCUGUAUGAUAGAAACCAUAGAAUCAUUGUGUGAUGGGGUGGUAACAUUUAUUUUAAUGUUUUUUGACAUGCAUUAAAGUAAAUUAGCAAAAAACAAUUCAUGGGUUUUUGAAUUCUCACCCGAUGAGAUAUUGGGCAUAUUCCCAUUUUUGUCCCAAUUAGAAUCCUCACAUUGGAUUACAGUUGUUUACAAAAAUCAGACUUAUUUUUGUUCUCAGAGGUAGAUUUUUCAACCACAUAUUUCUUCAAAUUGGGAAAAUCUAAAACAGAAUUAUAGCUCAUUUUUUUCCAAAAAUAAAAAAAUAAAAUAUCAUUAUUAUACAAAAACCAGUUUAGGAAUAAUCUAAGUUUUCAAAAAAACAAAUUAUUUUUGUAAACCUUUCCAAAUUAAUAACUAUUUUUUAAAAUAAUUAUAAAAAAUAGUUUUUGGAAACAAUUUUUUAAAACUGUUAUUAAAAUAUGUUUGAAAACUUAAAAUGUUUUUAACUUAUUUUUAAUCAUUUUAAAUAUUUAUAUAUUUAUUUUUUAAAAUACCUCUAAAAAAAAGGUAAAAAUAACUAAAGUGUAUUAUUUAAAAAUAUUGUAUUUUUUAUUUUUAAGAAUAAAAAAUAAAACAUAAUUUUUAAUUAUUAAACAAAUUUUUCAUAUUGUUAUUUUAAAGAAUAGAAAACUGUUUUAAAUAUCGAGGUUGUUGUGAUUGCAUGACUGCUUGGUUAAAUUGUGGCUGCUAAAUUUGCAAAUGAUCAUGAUUAAUAUCUUAAUCGUGUGUAGGAAGCUGUCGCCUGUACAAGAGGUGAGAGUGAGACAGUGAUGAAAAUACGAGUUUUAGUUUUGAUGAAUGACAAAUCCCUCCCAUUUUCAUCACUGCCCUUCACCUUUUUCUAUGCAAACACUUGGUCCAAUAGAAAAGGUGAAAUCAAUAAUAAAAGGGUUGAAAAAGCAAAAGCAGAAGGAGAUCAAUAAUUGCCAGCAAGGUGGAUUGGGCAUCAGAUCUCUUAUAUGCAACUCAACCUCUACUUCUCCAAUUGCCCCCCUCCUUUUCAAGGGCAUGGUCCUAUCACCUAUGUGGGUCACUCUCCCUUUACUUCCAUCAUGCCCAAAAUCCUUUCCCUCUAGGCUCUAUGAUGCCCAAUAACUUAAGUAGAAGUUCACCUUUAUUAUUUUUGGGCAUUAUUGGUACUAACUAUAUGUUGUAGUUACAAGCCAUUCUAUUUAUGGUAACAUUCUUUUUUAUCACCCUUCCAUCUUAAUCCAACUCAAAUUAACCUAUCAAUUAUUUUGUGGUUUCAUUUUAUCUUAUUUUUGAGAAAUCUAAAACUUAUUCUUACGUUUUAUGCAGAUUUUUAUAUCCGUUUAACUAAUCUUAUUUAAAUUAAUUUACGAUUUAAGUCAAAAUCCGAAACUAUCCCAAAUGAGACGUGAGUAUUAUUUUAUUAUUCUAUAUUACGGGAUAAUUAAUUUUGCGGGUUUUAAUAAAAUUUUAAAUUGUUUACAAAUGAAAUUUAGUUGAACGAAAGGCAUGUGAAGAGCAUCCUUGGAUGUUAAUAGUAUACAAAGAAGGAGUUGAUUGACUGCUAAUACCAAUGAUCUUAACUUGCCUUUUGCAUUGGGCGGUCGGCUGCCAUCAUUAACUAAUGAUCUAUGAUUGAGUAUAUUCCAAUACUGUACACGUGUCCUCCAUCCGCUGCACUUCUACAAAAGUGGACGGUUCUCAAGUACCCAGGAGCAAUUUUUUAAUUAGCACUCGCUUUACCAAAUCUGCCGCAUCUUUUCCCAAACACCAGGGUUUGGCUUCGUAAACAAGACUCAGCAACCAAAUUAAAAAUAAGUGAGUGAAACCCUGAAGUACGACGACACGUGGGAUCACAGCUGGAGUAGCAAUCAUGCCUUCCACUGGGUAGUGUGAUAUGCCACGUUGGCAAAAAGUGGGUGUCCCAGAAAACGUGUAAUGAUGGUGGAUUAUAUUGGAAAAGCAACUUUUCCACGUGGCAUGGCACGCCACGUCGAUAGCGUAGAGGGCUUUAUUACAACUGGAAGACAUCUGGCACGCGUUUUUGUUGUAAAUUGUCUGGCAGAAGUGGGCCACGUGGUGCCAGAGUAGGUCCACAGACAGCUCAGCGACUGGGAUUGUCGGUCGCUUUCGCUAGCUGUAAAUCAUCAUAAGCGGAGAAGCGUCCGUAUGCGGAUGACGUCAUUAUUAGAAACGAUUUUAUAGAAAUGAAAGUAAUUUUUGUUGGGUGGUGGGUGAGAUUUUUGAAUGAAAGUUCGAGAAAGUAGGGAGGGAGAGAGAAAGGAAAAAAAAAGUUUAAAAAAAGGCGGGACAGCGUGGCGGGCAUUUUGUGGAGGAGGUGGUGUUUGGGGAGUAAUAGAAUAUGGGGCUGUUUGGCUAAUAGGAUAGGAGUUCGGCUACGUGUAUGGAUCUGAUUGGCUAAUCCUGACAGAGAAAAUUUUGCCUAGUGAGAGAUGAUCUCGGGAAAGCAAAUAUAUUUGUUCGAGAAAUAUUAAAUUUUUAAUUCAUUUGCAAUAAAUUCAAUAGCAUAUGAUAUGAAAUAUUUACAUUCCAUAAACAAAUUUUCCCUUAUUUUGAUUUAGAUUUUUUUUUUAAGGUAUGGUAUCGGUAUAUUAAUACUAGAUUUUCUCAUAUAGAAAUAGAAUAAUAUGAAUAACUAUGAUAUCCCUCAUAGUUUCAACGGGAAAGUUCUCAAAAUUGUUUUUUAAAACUGUGAUAAUUUUGGAUUAAAAGUAAAUAAUAUCUAUACGAUUGGAUGUGAGUUACGAUAUUAUAUUUUUAUUUUUUGAUACGUGGAUUAUACACACGUUUUAAAAUAGCAAAGCCAUAUAGUCGGUGUAUUAUUUAAUAUUUGGAUAUUUUAUAAUUGUUAAUAAUUUUAUAGUUUUCACAUACGUGUUCCCAAUUUUAAAUAUUAAAACUCGUUUUAGGAAAAAAAAAUUUAAUUUCUAUAUCACAAAUAAUAAAAAUUAAUUUAAUUUACCAUGUUUGAGUUUUUACAUAAGCCCGUCUAAUUCCAUUAAUUCAUUUGUUUGAAAUUUUAUUAAAUACAUUUUAUGUCAUUAUUUUCUUUAGUUAGUUUUAUCGCUCAAGAUACAUGAGUUAUUUUAUAAAAUUUUAACGGAUGAGGAUUAAAUGUAUUUAACAAAAUCUUGAAAAUAAAUGAAUGAAAUUAAUCAUAAAUAAUAAUGCCUCCCUUUUCCAUACAUUUUUUUAGAAAAUCACUUAAUUAAAAAAAUACAUCUAUAUUAAUUAUCAAAUAAUCUUUAAUGUAAAAGUGAAUUUAGGUGAGAUUACUCAAUAUAAAUGUUUAUAGUAUGAUAUACAUAUUUGAACUCAAAUCCUAUAAAUUUUAAGUUUUUCGAAAAAUUGAUAAUUCAAUAUGAUAUCAGAGUUUUGUAUGAUAUGAGAUUGUAAACUCAAGCCCCUUCUCCACAAUUUGUAUGUUCGCUUCCCAGUCUAUUCCUCCUCUCCCCCCUACCUAAUUUGCAAUUCCGUGGUAUAACUCAACUCAGAGAUAAUGGAGAAAAUCUAUCACUACUGUGGCUAUUCAUAUUCAUCAGUCCAAUAUAACUCCAAAAGAGGUCAUUUUCAAUGUCUAUAUAAUACCAUGUUGCAUGUAGAUAUGAAGAUGAAUUGGUAACUGCUAGAAUCCAAUGUGUUGCAAAUUGCACUUCAAUUAUUGUUUCUGGAUUUGCUAAUUGCAAAGCUGUCUUCAUUUAUUUGAUGCUUAUCAUUAUUUUUUAACCUAUUGGUAAAAUAUAGGUGGCAAAUUUGUUAGGACGGUGGAAUUUGUACAUUAUGAUUUGAUUAUUAAUGUAAAAUAAGAUUUUUGGGUUGUCUUCUACUAUGGUCAAAAAUCUUGAUUAGUUAUUUUGCAUAUCAAUUUUUUCAACUUAAGUCGUAAAUGAAAUUAUGAAUAUGAAAACCAUUUUUUUUUUUACAGCAAAAGAACUUUGACCUUCAUUUUAACGAAGAAAAAAAAAACUAAGAGAAAUGUUUUUCUAUUGUCUUAUGGAGAGAGAUAAAAAAAAUAAGAAAAAACAUGGUUUUUUUUUUUUUUUUGGUCUUUAGAGAGAUUUUUUCACAGAAAAAGAAAAAGAAAAACUUUUCUUUUAAUAGUAUCAUGCUCUUUGAAAGUUUUAAACUUCAAAACACAGCUCCCUCGUUUUUUCAUUUUCUUAUUUAUUGGGUUAAAUCAGGUCAACCCAUUUGGGUGCCUAAUCCUAACUCCAACCGUUAUCAUAAAUAAGUGUUUCAAUUAUUCAUUUAUCAUUAAUUUACUUUUCUAACGAAUGAUAAAACUUCUUUAAACUUUCAAUAACCUGACUAAAAUGGCAUCGGACAACUUACAUUUAAUCUAUAUCAUGGAACGGUUUCGUACAAAAAUUACUUGGCAUUAAUGCUUAAUCACAUUGGAGGGCUAACCUAUUUUGUUUGAUACAUUGGACACACUUCAAUUAUUUAUACAGGCAAAUAAAACAAAAUUGUUCAUAAUUUUAUUCCUACUUGCAAAAAUGAGACAACCAAGUAGCCCUUAAAAUACUAACAAGCAUAAUUUGUAGAUUCUUAAGAAUGUAGGAGGCAUACUGAAUAUUGAAUACAUCUUUCAUAUUUUCAAUCAAUUGACUACCUUGUCUUAUAUCCAUAUCUCACAUUCAUAGGGUGGAUUAGAUUUAGUCCACUGAAAAUGAUGAUCACAAAAGUUUAUUAAAACAAAUGUGAGAUUGUGAUGUGAUUGAUACAAUUAUUUUUAUUAAAAAAAAGGGUCAAUUGUAUGAUUCAAAACAUCCAUACAUAUAUUUAAUUAAUUAAUUAUUAUUAUUUAUAAUUCAUGACCUCGAUUUUCCACUAAAGGAGUGGGUGGAAUUCUUGACAACCACUAAAAUAUGUGGGCAAGUUGUACUUUUUAUAUUUAUUUAUUAUUGUUAUUCAUUUUGUCAAUCCUUGAAUUGAUUAAGUCUAUGUUAUGGGAAAGUGCCAAUUUCUCUCUCCACGUGCAUAGCAUAUGACUAAUUUAUUAAAUUAGUGAAGCUUGAGAUCAACCUGCAGCUGCAUAAGGUAGGGAGAUUACAACUUUUGGUUCGAGGAAAUCAAGGAAACCUUUGAAGGAUUGAUAGAAAAGGGUUUGGUAUUAAUCAUUUGUGUAGCUUCUAUGCUUGAUGCUACUACUCCUAUUCAACCAUUAAUAUAUGGUUUUAAUUUUUUGUACUUAAAAUAGUAUUAAUUUGAGAAUGAAAGCUACUUUAUUGGUAUAAUUUGUAAGGAUUUGCGAUUAAUUUAAACAUAGCCGCUCGUAACCCACCAUAGAACCCUUUUUUAUUUUUUUUUCAAAUUCUUUAUUUGUGAAACUAUUUCAUUGAAAACAAGUUUUAUAAAAUUCAAUAUGGUUUUUGGGAUUUCUCAUCUGAUCGCUCCCGUUAAGCCAAGUUUGAGUAGGUGAUUAUGUUAUUAGAAUUCUUAGGUUUAGGACCGACAAGAGAUCCUCGUGAGUCAAGCUAAAAGCGGUAAGAUGUUAUUUAAAUUGACUUUUGAGAAUUAAAAAUUAUUUUUUAAAUUUAAUAAGAAUUUUUAUGUUUAUUUUGUUAUUUUUAUUUAAAACACUUAGUAGAAACUUAAUUUUAGGUUAUAAAAAAAGCCCUUCUAUAUUUGAUAAAAUCUUUAUAAUACCAAUACCAAAAUUUCAAAAUUAUCUUUUACCUUGUGAUGAAAGCCCAAAAAAAAAAAAGGAGUAAUGCCAUGUGAGGCAUAAGAGGCCUUAGCCCACACCCCACCAUUUACAAAGACAACAAAACCUUGGACCUGGGCCUCGGAGCACAGGCCCAAUGGGAGAAGAAUGGGUGGUCCUCUAUGAAUUUGUACGUUACAAUACUUCAUAUAUGGACUUGAAUGAUGUUCUUAAUUGCUGGAUUUUUUUAAAGAUAAAUGGGAUGGGAUAGUCUCAACAUCAUCAACUUCAAAUCAAUAUUUGUUGAUUCAUUUUCCUUUUUCAGCCUCUUGAAUCCCCAUGCACGUAACGGAUGUUGCUCUCACGAUUUCUCACUAUAUAUACAAACCACAGCAUACAUGCUUCCGCACUCGAUCGACAUGGCUCUGAUGCUGAAGCUCUUUCUUUUCACUCUUCUCUCUGCAUGGAGCCUGGGAUCCAUGGCUUCCGCACGGUACCUGGACAAGAGCUUCAGCCUUGCUGCUCGAUUACAUGCGGACGACGACUCAUCAUCCAAGUGCUGGGAGUCUUUGCUUGAGCUUCAGGCAUGCACUGGAGAGGUUGUCCUGUUCUUCCUCAAUGGUGAGACUCACCUUGGGGCCGGCUGUUGCCAAGCCAUUCAGACCAUUGAGCACCAAUGCUGGCCUGCCAUGCUUACUUCCAUUGGUUUCACUGCCGAGGAGGGCGACAUCCUCCAAGGUUACUGUGAUGCAACCACAUCCUCUUCGGCUCCCCCACCACCACCACCACCACCAUCCAUGGAGCCUAAUGACGUGGUUACCUUGGGUGGCUUUUUCCUCGAUCCUUAGUAGAACGCGUUCUUACUAGCAGUUAUGUCUUUUACAUAUAUCUGAUCCGCUAGUCUAAAUAUAUACAGAAAAGGGUGUUUGGAAUUAAUGAAUGAUUUCCUAUAUAUUGCCCCAUAUUUGUUGCAAUUAAAUUCCAUUUCUUGCUUGAAAAAAAGGUAUAAUAAUUUCCCAUCAUUGAUAGCACUAGUAGUUGUCUUUUAUGGGCUGGACGAGACACACAGAUCGACCCACAAUUCUGCUUACCCAGCCCAUGCUCAGUGGUUUGGACUAACAUAAUUGGAGGCCCAAAAGGGAUAUCAAUAAUAAGAUAAUGUUUGGAAGAUGAGUCUAUUUUUGUAUCUAGAUAAGACCAACUCAUCCCCCUCUAAUUAAUGGAGAGGUAACGGCGUGAAGGGCAAGAUUCUCAAGGACUCAAAAGCCUUUUUGCUUUGAUUUUCCAUCAAGGCAUCAGUGCCAUACACAUAAGUCCAUAAGGUAAUGAAUAAGGAGCGUCAAAUCAGGGUGGGAUGCGAAUAUGCGGAUUGAAAGCCAAGUAUUGAUUUUAGUGGUAUGAGGUGGGUCGUGUAUGGAUGGUGACAUCUAACUAUAAGUCUCUCAAAAGACUUCAAACUUCCCCCCAUCUCCGCCUUCUUUCAUGCUCUUUCCACUCUUCUUUUAACGUAGUAAUUUUUUUUCCCUUUGGGUAAUUAGGAUCUAAGCAUGGAAGAAGAGAAUAUUCGGAUGAGUGUUUCAAGAGUUCUUGGCUUUCUACACAUUGUUACUUCAUUUUCAAGCUGAGGAAUCAAUUGGUCAUUUGUUAUGUGCUUGUUUGUGAUCAUUGGGAAGCAGAUUUAGGGUUUUGAAAGGUCAAAUGCUAAUCAACAGAAGAAGAAAUUUACACCCCAUGCCAACAUAAAGAGAUAAUUGUGGUUAGGAUAGAUUUCAUAUAAUUAACUUCAACUAACUUCUCAUGACCUGCCAUUCCUAGUCAUCAUUCAGUUAGUUAUUUCCUUGCUAUGCCCAUGAUCGAUGCAUCGACCGUUUGCCACUUGUUUUCAUCCAAAAACCUGUCAUUUUCUCUCCGAUCUCGAUCCACUAGAAUGGAUCAAACUGGAUUCUUUCUUCCUCUGGAAUAAUGUAAAGCUAGACUAAAAUUUUAUACAUUCCUCUAUUGGUUGAUGGUUUAUUAAUGGUGAGAUAUCUUGUACAAAUUGAAUCAUCAAGGUCAUUGGAGUGGUGUCCUUGUUGACUAAUUAAUGGGUCCAUGUUUCAUGAUCAUAAGGCCAUCUUGCAUGAUUCAAAUAUACCCUAUUGAAAUGGUAUACAUACACAUGCACAUUGUUCAAAAACGCCCUAGAAAAAGGAAAGGAGGAUAAAAAGAAAUACAAGUCGUCCACUAGUGCCAUAUGUGGAAAAGUAGUGAGCAUACAGAUCUCAACUCCCCUAGAGAAAAUUGUCCUCGUAUGGAACCUCAACAAUGAAUUCUAGAGAAAGCUGUCAAGUGAUCACAGUCCAGAUGAAUCUUGAUUUAGAAGUUAGAAAAAUGAAGGGUUGUUAGGUUAGGGUAGUUAGUCAAUGGCACAAAGAUGUUAUCUUAAAAGUUGUGGAGGAGAGGAGAGGAGAGGAGAGAGUCAGAAAAAAGAAUGAACCUAUCAGAAGAAAGUAAGAAACAUCAAACUAUAAUCUUAUUAACAUGGAACGAUAAUCAUGAUAAAGCCACACAACAAGGGUUUCACAAGGACACACAGAGAGACCCAGGAAACAAGACACAAACUCAUCCAACAUAGCUCAGACAUAGAAAUUAUUUAGCAUAGUUGCUCACUGGCAAUUGUAAAUCUAAUUACACAACAAGCACACAUGCAUGCGUCUAGAAAAGAUGGUGAUGCUUCUUUCCAUGAGCCUCUUCAUCUUCUUCCUUGGCUUCUUUCUUCUCGUGAUGCUCGUGGAACGCGAACCCGCCAGCUCCCACUGCAGCAGCCGCGGCAAUCUCUUCUUCUAUCUUGUGCUUGUGGGCAUGCUCAGGGUCUUUCUCCGACUUGUGCUUCUCAUGCUAUAAUUCAAGCAUCAUCAAGACGAUAAGAAAUAGUUCCUUUGUAUAAAAUUAAUUAAAACAAAAAUAUUUUCAAACUUCAUGACACACGGGGCAUUACCAAGGCGUAAGCGCCAGCAGCAGCGACGCCGAGCUCGCCGAGGUGCUCGAGAUGCUUGUGGUGCUUCUCCUCCUUCCUGUAGUCAGGGCCUGGGUCAUCUGCUAACACUUCGGUGGUUUCGGCAGCGUAGCCGCUGACACCAUCGGUAGCAUAGCUGGUGUCGGAGUAGGUGGUGUCGGAGUAGGGAACGGCGUCGUCAACAGGCUUGUCCUUGUGGUGGAAGAGGUGGUGGUGAUGCUUCUCCUCCGACAUGGUGGUGGUGAUCAAAUUAGCUGCAGAAACGAGAGAGGAAGAUGGUUUGUGAACUGUGAAGGUGUGAUGUGGGAGAGUGCAGUGGUGGGUGGUGGGGUAUUUAUAAAUGCUGGUUGCGAAGGUGUCCAAAGAUCGUGGGAGAGAUGAAUGGGUAUUGGGAAUGGCCCGAAUGGGUGGGGCCUCACCAUUCACCAUUCUUAUCUACAUUUUUCAAAUCUCGAUGGCUCCUACUCUGUCGAUACUUUGUUUUUGUGUCGGCAAUUUCAUUGGAUCUUUAACCACGACAUUUUUUAACCACAUUUUUAGAUUUCCGUGAUAUUAUCAUAAUUGUUUUUGUUAGUCAUUCGUUGGAUUUAUUUCAAAAGUAGGAAAAUGUUUGAAAAAUAUACAUCAUCAUUUGCGUCUUUGAUCCACUCUCAAUAGGAAAUAAAUAAAUAAGAAAAGAAAACCACAAAGUCUCAGGUAGCAAAGAGUCCAUAUCAAAGUAUCAAACCUUUUUAUCGAUGAAUAUUUUUAGGAAGAACAAUCUAUUAUUUGUAAAAUAAUUUUUAUAUAUUGAGUGAUAACCCUUCAAUUCGAUAUCGUUAGAUCAUUAAGGUCGGCUUUUGUCCCUAUUCGACGGGUGGAUCUUGUAGUCAAACUCCCUUUUACCUUUGCACUCAAGGUCCAUCUUUGUUUUGCUUGAGAAAACCUUUGUUAAUUUCCAUUACCUUUUGAGAGACUUACGCUCUAUAAAAAUUAUUUAUCUAUUCCUUGACGAGGAAAUUCAAAUUCUUUUACUUAAAUUUAUUUUAUAAAACAUUAAAAAAGGUUAAAUAUAAUAAAAUUAUUAAAAAUUUGAAUUUAAGAAAUCAUUUAUUUUUUAAAUUUUGACAUGAACAUAUAUGGGUAAAAAACAAAAAGAGACAAAAACAAAAUAUGUUUUUUUGUGCAGUAAUCAAUUAAAAAAUCACUUUCAAUUUAAUAAAAGAUGUAAUUUUUAAUAUUAAAGCUUAGAGAAAAAAGAAUUGACUUGAUUGGAAUGAAUUACAAAAAUCACACCCCAAUGAAGAGGAACCCCAUACAGCACCUCCUUUCCUUUUCAUAAAGCAAAGACCUUUCAUCAGUAGGCAUGUGAAGGAGGGAAAUGAACUUGGCAGAUUCCACCUUAAAGUGCUAAAACAUGGCACUUGCCCCUCUUUCUAAUCAAACUUAACCCCACCUACAUUAUCUACAUUAUUUAUUGUACAUUAUCUUUCUCCAACUAAUACUAGUAUUUCACAUCUCACAAUUUUUUUAUUCUAUUGGAUGUGAGUCUAUUAUUGCAGUUAGGUCAGCUAAUCAGGAUCCCAUGGAUAAGGUGCCACAUAUUAAUAUUUUAGCCUUUUAGGUGUUGCUAUUCAUCCUCCUUUAUGACUUGGGCUCCAUUUCUUUGCUUGAACCUCACUUUUAGGGUAAUUUCUUUUCUUGGACUAUUAGUUUAUUUGUUGCACAUAAAAAGGCCACUUUAAUGGCCGUCAAACUUUGAUAAAAUAUGUCUUAUUUUGUACUUUAAGGUGGUGUUUAUUUUUUAAUUGAAUAAAAAAAAAAUAAAAAUAUUUGAUUUUUUCUAUUUAAUUAAAAGUAAUUUGUUGAGAUCGUUCAAUGUAACUAAAAUGAACUUGUUAUCAAUAAAUUUACUUUAGUUAUGUUAGACAAUAUUAAUAGGUUACUUUUAAUUGAAUAGAAAUAAAAGUCAUUUUAAUUAUAUUGGACAAUAUUAACAAGUUAUUUUUAGUUGAAUAGAAAAAACUAAAUAUUUUAAUUUUUUUUAUUCAGUCAAAAAACAAACAUCACCUAUAAAAAUUGAUAACUUUUAUAUAUUUGUACUAUGGUAGAUGGGCUUGGCCCACUUGGGCGUAGGGUAGAUAUUUGAAUUUUGAACAGAAAAAAAAAAAAGGGAAAAAAGGAAAAAAGGAAAGGGGAAAGAGAAGGAGAAGAUAAAUCAAUAAAUCAUAAAAGCAGGAAGGAGAGGUGGAAAAUGGUCCUCUGGUCUGGACCAGGAGAAAGUGGCCGGUGAUGGGGCCCAUUGGGUCUGUGUCGGCAAGGCCCCAUUUAUUUCGGCAUCAAUAUACCUGCCUGAUUGGUUCCAUGCCUGCCAUAUGUUUACGCUUUUGUCAAUUAUUAUAAAAAACAACUUCUUUGUCAAUAAACUCUUUAAUUUUUACUUCUCUAUCGUCUUUAAUGGGUGUGAAAAAAGUCAUACAUGCCUAUUGUAUUCUUCUCCUUUUUAGUAGGUAAAAACCUACAGGCUAUCCCUAAACUGAAUUUUAUAAUAUUUCAGAAAAUAUGAAAUUUAUUUUUAAUUAAUAAAAAUUUGGAUUAAAUAUCAAUCAUAAUUUCAUAACUGAUAUGGCCGGUGAUAAAGAACGAGUGAGUCACGCUAGGGCCACGGAUGUAUCACAUUCAUGGUGUGCCUGGGCUUAGUGGUUGAUGUGAAAUAGAUAUAGGUGUAGCGCAUAGUGUAAACGGGCCCAGGGAAAUUCAAAAUCGCGUUGCCACGUUCCAUAGAAAGGACAAGAAAUUAGAAGCUGGGAGUGGUCCACGUCUUCCAGGUAACCCCCACGCUGCUAACGAUUAUUCAAUGCCUUCCUACUCCAAAUCAAACCUAAUGUUCAACAUCGACAUGUCUCAUAUGACACAUCCUUAUAGAUGAAGUUGGUGAACUGUGGAGAAGAGAGAGUAAGGGCGUGUGAGCGGAGAUAAUUCACAAUUGAUUGGCAGGUUUCGGAUAUUUUCUUCGGCUUUGUCCUGGGUUUUUGGAAAGGUUUGAUUGGCCCGACCCAAUCCUACAACCCAUACUAAACCACACAAUCGAAUCCUACGAGAGACCAAACCCAACCUUAAAUCAAGUUCCUCAUUAUGGGCUUCAUAGCCCAACUUAGCACUCCAGCCCAUCCUAACAUUGGGAAAAAUAAAUUAAUGAAAAUUAAGACUAGAUAUGAAUAAUUUCUUUUAUUAUCUUAAACUGCUGAAAGGGAUUAGUUAUCCUACACAGCUUGAACAGAAAAAGAGCCCUCUAAAACUCACCUACUUGAGAUUUAAGGCAUAAAAAAGUCCUUACCUUAAUAAUUGUAAGAGAUCGUUGGAUCAAAUGAUUCAAAUCUGGGACUUGCUCACACAAUCAAUCCAUUUCAUGAGACGAAUUACCAGUGAGGCUCUCUUCACCAUCUACAAGAUUUCGGAUGUAGCGAGUCAAGUAAGAACUUGGACCAUAGCAAAUGCUUGAUAAAAACCCUCCAUACAGUAAGCAAUGGAUGCCAAGCUUAAACAGAUUUUUCCUCUCUUGGUUGGUGUCUCUCUGUGCUUCAUACCCACCAGUACUUUCUUCAUCCCAACUCGAAGAAUCCAUGGCAGUGCAGCCUGAAUGAGCCUGAAAACCCCAGAUCUUGGAAGUUUCCAUCUUUUGCAGCCAGUUGGAAUCAAUGGGAUCUUUAAAUUUUUUACAAAGAUGGUGUCCCUGGAUCAGAAAACUCCAAACUUUUGGUGUAAUACUUGAGACACAGUUAAGGAACUGCUUAGAUAUGUUCUCCAAUCCUCCAUUAUGAGCUUGACUCCCAAAAAAAUUGGCCUCGAAUUCAUCUGCUAGUGAGCACUCAUUGCAUUUAUGACUCUGAAGAGACGAAAGAUUUAGAACAGGCAACCUCCCUUUCACAAAGGAAUUCAAUAGUGAGCUUCUAGCAAGACUUAAAAGGGACUCCCCAGCAUUCAUCCAGAAGUUUGCAAUUGAUGCGAUCAAAGAAGAGUCAGAGAGGAAAAUACGGUGGGUUGCACCUGCAAGCAACAAGGAGUAUGCUGCACUGGUCUUGAUCAAGCUCAAGGCUUCCAGCUCAUCUCCGUCCAUUUCAGAAUGCAGAUCCAGUAAUUGACUAGCACGGACUCUGUAUGCAGAAGCCAGUGUUGUGUAGGCGGCCAAAGAGAGAUGGUGCAGGGGGUGCAACUUGAAAUUUGCUUGUGAUUUUCCCUCAAUUGGUUCUAACUGCUCAUCUGGAAGACCUUGAGCAAUAACAUUCUCAAGCUUCUCACAGCAAGCUUCAGGGUUGCCAACUGACAAAUAGUCAGCUAUAGCAUCAUCUACAUAAUCAGUCAACUUUCUGAUUUCCUCCUCUCUACACAUGUUAUCAUCUAUGUAAUUGAGACUAUGAGCCAAAGUUUCCUAUAGGGAAGAACAGAGAAAUGUCAAUCCUUGUUUUAUGACAGUACUAGAAUUCAGGCACUUCAAUUGCAGAUUAAAAAAUGCUUGUGAAGUUCAGACUUCAGAGUUGAUACAGAAAUAUUGUGAGUACUUCACCGUACAAAGUGGCCCCCGAAAAAUAACCAGAGUGGACAAGGGAAAGGAUAAAACAGGAUGAGAAAAGCUACUAUGAAUUACUCAAUAGCUUUUCCUAGUUCCAAUUGAUAUGGAGAAAAAGACUCCAACUGUCUGUCAGCCUUUUGAGAAGGAAAAAGCAGAUGUAACUAAGGGAGACAACUUGAAGAAACAAAAGAUAUGAAAGGCAAAGAAGAAAAUAAAUAGCACACAUACAGAUUCUGGAUGCAGCUCUAAUUGCAAAUGACGCAGCUGACUCAAGGGAGAGAAGCUCUAGGGCUGGUUUAGUUUGCAAGUUGGACAUAUGUACUUUGGUGUGCCCCUUUUGGCAUUUUAAUACAAUUUGCACUUACCUAUCAAAAAAAAAAAAAAGUUUGCAAUUUGGACAUAGAAAAGGCUUAUGACCAUGUUGAUUGGAAUUUUCUCCUCCCAGUAACGAAAAAGAUGGAGUUUGGUCUAAAAUCGAGAAAGUGGAUUCAUUUUUCCAUUGUAAGGAUGUCAAUCUUAGUCAAUGUUUCUCCUUCAGAUUUCUUUCAGACAUCUAGAGGAUUGUGGCAGGGUGAUCCUCUCUCACCCUAUCUCUUCAUGAUUGUCAUGGAAGCUCUACAUUGUAUACUCUCAAGGGCUGACUAGGGAGUGUUCAUUCAUGGCUUCAAGGUCAGGGGCAGAAGGGGUGAAGGUUUCCAAGUAUUCCAUCUCCUGUUUAAGGAUGAUAGAAAAAUUUGGAUCAACUAAGAUACUGGAGGUGGAUUGUAAUAGGCUUCAAGGUUGUGUUAGGUCUGAAAAUAAACCUGUAAAAAAGUAACUCAUUCUAAUGGGGAAAGUGGAGGAUGUGGUGAGAUCAUCAUCUUUGCUUGGGUGUAAGAUUGGAAGGCUUCCCACUUCUUAUCAUGGUUUGCCCUUUGGAGUGCUUCAUAAGUAUUGCGUUGUAUGGGAUGCUGUCAAGGAAAUGUUUGGUAAAAGAUUGGCUUCUUGGAAGGUGUGGUAUUUGUCAAAAAGAGGAAGAUUAGUUCUUUCAAAGAGCACUUUCUCAAGCUUAUCAAUCUAUUUUAUGGCCUUUUUUUCUAUUUCCAGGAAAGUGAGGAUCAAAUCAUAAAGGAUUCAGAGAGACUUUUUGUAAGGAAAUCUUUGGUAAACCAAUAAGAUGCAUUNNNNNNNNNNNNNNNNNNNNNNNNNNNNNNNNNNNNNNNNNNNNNNNNNNNNNNNNNNNNNNNNNNNNNNNNNNNNNNNNNNNNNNNNNNNNNNNNNNNNAGGAAGAACAUCCAAAGAAAGUGCAGGGAACUGGUCAAGGGGUGGAACAUUUGUGAGGUGAGGGAGACUUCUGGUAUAAGCCUAUGGAAAGACUUAAGAAAAGGUUGGGAGGAAUUCAACCACAGGAUAGCUAUCCAAAUUAAAAAUGGUAGCCAGACAAAAUUUUAGAGGGAUGGGUGGGUGGGUGGGGGGGAACUGUUUGAAAGAAGCAUUUCCUCUAUUGUUUAGUCUAGCUUCUCAAAAGAAUGCCAUUGUUGCAAACAUGUGGGAUGGGAGAGGUAGUGGAGGCCAGUGGGUGCAUUUCAAAAGGCCAUUCCAAGAUUGGGAAAUGGAGGGGGUGUCCUAAUUUUUAGAACUUAUUUAUUCAUACAGCAAAAGUGCAAGAAGAAGGGAAAGAUAUCUUAGUUUGGAAGGAGGAUAGGAAGAGAAUCUUCAGUACUAAGUUGUACUACAGUUCAUUGUGUGCCGAAUUUAGAGUGGACUUCCCAACCAAAGAAAUUUGGGGGCUCCCAAGCUCUUACGAGAUCAUGUUUUCUCACUUGGGAAACAGUAUGGGAGAAGAUCUCAACCAUAGAUUUGUUAAUGAAGAGGGAUGGACAAUGUUAAUAGAUAUAGUCUUUGCAAAGAGAGUGAUGAGUCUGCUGAUCAAAUUUUCAUUCACUGUGCAAUGACAAAGGUAUUAUAGAUGUUUGUUUUAUCAAUUUUUAGUUAGAAAUAAGUUUCUAGCUACAGUGAGGAAUAUGCUUCUCAAGUGGAAGUUUUUAAGGUAUUGGACAAGAAGAGUCACCAUCUUUGACAAAUGACACCCCUCUGCUUAUUCUGGUGUAUAUGGAAAGAGGGAAACCAUAAAAUCUUUAAUGGGGAAGAGCUUGCAUAUUAGAGAUUAAAAGAGAGCUUUAUUAAAUCCCUCUUUGAUUGGUCCAAAGUUCUGUUAGAAAUGGGCAAUUCUGAAUGAUGGCUUUCGUAAAUGGUCUUAGUUGUGGAUAGUUUGGUUUUGAGUUGAGGUUGUUUUUUUAUUCGUUGUUUUGUUUUUUUUGUGUUUACUCCCAGUAUAUGUAAGGUAUGCCCCCUUUCAUUGGCAUGCUCUUUUAAUAUAUUAUCCUUUUGCUUAUCAAAAGAAAAAAAGAAAAAAGAAAAAAGAAAAAUAAAGAGAACACAUAAAUCAGGGGAAGGAUGAAGGAAUUAAACCAAUAGGAAUGAGAAACAGUUGGGUAUAUUUUUUCGACAGAUACUUCAUGCAGCAGGGGCAAGAUGGGGGAAAACCUUACCACUCCUGGUGCCAUAAAUGUGGCAUAUAUGCAUCGUGUUCUAACUCCACACCUAGUACUAUAAUUUUCACAGAAGACGAUCACCCUUCCCCACCCAGCAAAUCUAAAAUCAAGUUGCAAAAUGAAUCUUCUAGACUGCUUUCGGAUUUCUCCUAAACAUCAAAAUAAACAAAUGAUAGGCAUACUGUUCCAUAGAAGUCUUACUUGCAAAACAAGAUCCACAUAAGUAGGGGGCGAUGCAUUACAACGGUUACAGCAACAGGAAAACCAAUACUUCACCCAUAACUCUGCAUGUCUAAUUUCCUGGAAAAUCAAAUCAGUGCAAAUAAAAGCGUAUAACGUGAACUCAAAAAACUAAAAAAAAAACAGAGUAUAGAAGGAUGAGUUGGAACACAUUUUAGCACAAUGCCACUGAGUUCACUUACACUAUGGUGAUUAUGCAAGUAAUAUAAAAUCAUGCAACUUCUCAUUAGGUCGACUCCUUGUCAUUUUUCGCAAUCACUUCAAACAUAAGGCACAAUGCAAUAAUCUAAAAGCUUAAAAGUAAUAGCAGAUAUGCCAAAUUUACAAGCACAUUUUGCACAUUCAAUCUCUUAACAGUGGAACUGUAGAUACUGAAAAUGAAGAUUACCUUAGGCUGCAACAGGUCUAUGUAUGCAACCCACACCUCCUCACCCUUUUUAAUUGCCUUGAUGCUCCGAACGAUGAUUCUUGGCCCGUGUAUGUUGCAUCCUUUACUAGAGAAAAUCAAUUACAAGUAGAUAAUCAAAAUAUCCAAUAAAUUCACAACUGAUUUUUUUGAGAAACCAAAUUGAAAAAAACAUAAAAUAAUUAAAAUAAAAAAGAUUCAAUCACCUUCUAUUGAUUCACUUUUGCUACGAACAGCAUUCUGUAUCUGAAAAACAUUUCGGUUUCAUAAUUUUCAAAUCCUUUGAAUAUGGUUAAAAUUAAAGAAACAAUUCAGAAUUUAGGAAUAGUGAUCUAUUUUUCUUUACUUCAAUUUCAUCAUUGCCUCCAGGGAUAAUCUGGAGCCUCGACUCGCCAGAAAACUGGGGCGUCUCAGGUGAACGGAGCAAGAAACGGUAACAAGCAUUGGGAGAACAGCUGUGAUUGAUCCAAGAGAAGCACCAAUCGUAGACGGCUAUCCCUAGGGCGGACCCUCCAUUAACCUGCACUUCAACUGCAUUGGUGAGGACCAGGCAGAGCAGGGCCUCCUCCAGUUUGGAGUCCCCGGAGAAUUCCGUACCAUCUCGCAUACAUCGGGCAACGGCCAUGGCCUUGCCGCCGUCUCGGAUUCUCGUCAGAGUCUCAUCACUUUCCGAGUUGUGGGAGGGUGAGAUGAGGUGGUGGAGGUUGGUGAGUAGGCCGCAGAUUCGAUGGAGCGGUUGGGUAUGGAGGGGAGGGAGGUGGAGGAUGUGGAGGAGGCGGAGGGCAGCACGGAGGUCGGAGGAGUGAGCGGUGGAGGGGUGGGAAUGGCGGAGGAGGAGGAAGAGGUGGUGCUCGGCGCUGGAGAAGUGGAGGGGGGAGUCGGAGGCGGAGCAUGGUGGAGAGCAGUAGCAGAGAAAGGAGGAACUAGGGUUGGUAUUGACGAGAACAGUGGGCGGUAGAGGUGAGAAACAGGCGGAGCAGUGAGAGCGAAGGUGAGAGUCGUGGAGAGAGGAGGCUAGGGGUGGGAGUGGAUGGGUCAGGUCUAACCCCAUUUCUGUGUCCUCUCUCAUUCUCAUCUCCAUUCUUUACCAUACGGAUUGCAGGCAUUCUCAAUUCUAGUUCUUAAUACUGCUGCUCCCUUCUCCCCCUUCCUAAACCAUCCAUUUAGGAAAGCAGAAAUAUAACCACAGUUUAUUUACUUAUUUAUGAUGUUUCUAAUACACAACACCUGCAAAAAUUAAUGACAAAAUCUGUCCCAAUGGAAGGUAGACAAGAGCACAGACAUCUGAGCACAUAUUUACCAGCCUUAUCAUAUCAACAAACAAUAGUUGAAAUGCCAUUCUUCCUGAGAGUUUGGCCCCUUGAUCAAGACUGCCAUGAAGCAAACCCAUAAUUCAUUAGAGGAGGAUACCAUGUUUACUCUCAUUGGCAGUGGGCGGACCUGGGAAUGAGUCAAGUGACAGAACUCUGAAAACUUGCCUUGAGGAAAUCCCUCAACAAAUCCAAACAUUACUGGGUUGCCUUCAUAAUAAUUAUAAAGAAAACAAAUUCUUCCCAUUGAAUUUCCAGGACAAGUGCAACAGCUGUGCCAAUUUCCAACAGCUUAAACAAUUGAGUAAUCAAAAUUGUUUGUCUCUACAUCAACUGAUGGAGUCCACCGGACCAUGAUCAAAUUUCAUCAUAUUUUACAGAUAAAAUACCAGUUAUUUAGAAAAGCAUGGAUUGUGAUCUUCCUGUGCAGUUUUCCUUCAUCACAUCCCGUAUGCGACUUCAGUUGCUUCAUUACAUCAGUUUCUGAUUUCUAACUUGAACAACUGUAUUAACACCCAAAAGGAAAAAAAGGAACUAAGGGACUAUUUAACAGUUAAGACUAGAAGGGUUUUAGAAUUGAACUGGAAAGGGUUCAAAUAGAGGAAGAAGGAAGAAACUCACCAAAAGAACUAUUGUUUCACUUUUAGUGUGGUCUCAAUGCGCUGGAUGAGCUGAUCUGCAGUCAAAGCACCUUCCUGGAAUUCAUCAGACAGGAAUAGUAACAAAGAAAUUAGAACAUAAAAAAUAAAUAAACUAGUGGCAAUAUAACAACCAAAAGAAAAAUACAAUCAAAAGUACAGUGAAAACCAAGAUAAACAAUUGACUAAGGUGCCACUGUACAACCAGAGGCCCAACCAUGCAUUGUAUAAAUGCGGAAGAAAAUUCUGUAGACAUCAUCUCCUAUGCCAAGGAGAAAACCUUCAUUGGCUAAUCCCAUGAAAAAGUAUAAUUCAAUAGAGUCAAAGUGUGUGAAAACCAAGCCAGUGCUACAAGCAGGAAGCCUAAGAACUGAGUCAUUGCCAGUGUAAGCUUUGCCUGUAAGUAAAGAAGGCAGUUAACAAUCAUGUUACAGGGGCUGCCCAUUCACAGGCACGUGCAAGAUGAAAAUCAUGUGGGCAAUUCAUGACAAUUUCCCAAAAAGGUUUUUUUGUACAAGUGCAUACUAGAUACGAAUUCCACUUACAAAGCGAUCAUAUGGCUUCCCAUCUUUAAAUAUGAUGAAAGUAGGCAAUGCCUCUAUUCUGUACUUAUCAGCAAUGCUCGGGUAUUUCUCAGUAUCAAUUUUCACCACCUGGAUCUUGUCUUUCAGAGAAGCACCGACUUCGUUGAGGAUAGGAACCAUGAACUGACAAGGGCCACACCUGGAAACCAGUACUUCGUUACUUCUAGUUUUAUUUAGUUCCCUCAAUAUCUCAUAGAAAUAGAGACUCCUUAGAACAGCACACCCUCAAGGAAACACUUUAAUGAGGGACUGCCCUACUGAGUAGCAUGUCUUAUUGAUGGAAUAUAAUUUGGCUUAAAAACUCACAUUUUGCUGCCAAGACAGCUAAUUCAGGUUAUCAUCUAGCUUACAACAAAAUAACAAACCAUCUCAUAUCAUUUUCCUUCUAUUUAAAGAGCAAAGAAACGGUGGCAAGUAUGGGAUUUAUUUUAUUUCAUUUUUUUUUUUUAAAAAAAAAAAACUCACCAAGUUGCAUAGAAGUCUACCAGAACAGGUUUUUCAGAAUUUGCUAGCAAUUCAUCCAAGGAAGAAAAUGUUUGCUUCUUUGCUUCAACCUAAAGAAAUCACAACAAUGUGGAAGUUACCCAUUAAUUUAUAGACACAUUCAGAAUUUGGUAGUCCAACCAUGCUUAUCUAAAUAUGCCAAUAUAACAGAGUCAAUUAGGAAAAUGUCCCAAACUCCUAAGAUAUAAUAUUAACAUAAAAUGUUUGUUCAGAAUGCAGAGAAACAAAAACCAAGAUACCUGUAAUCUGACAUUACAAAAAAAUGAGUCAAUUUACUCUGAGUCAAUUUAAAUUGGAAUUUAUGAACAUUCCAAUAUACUUUACUCUGGGUAACAGGCAGUUAGUAAGCAUGUCAAAUCAAAUAUUUAAGCACCAGUUAGAUAUCUAGAUUACAACUUUUCAUGACUCUUUAACUUUGAAAUCAUAGCUUCCAACUUGGAAGGUUAACAGGCAAAGCAGUGCACAAUUAUAUGGUCACUAUGACACCUUGUUUCUAGAUUAACUACUAGUCUAUCAGAUGACAAUUGAGUGCUCGUAUGCAGCGAACAAUGGUAUAGAGCUAAAUAGCAGAUGAAGUACAUUAGCUGGUUUACAUUGUCAAAUUGGAAACUAUGGGUAUGUUUGGAAUUUGCUUUCAAAAACAGUUUUAUGUUUUUAAGAACAAAAAUAAAAUAAAAUAAAGGAAAACAUGUUUGACAAUCAGGAAACAAGAUGUUUUAUGAGAAUAUAUUUUAAUUGUUUUCAGUCGUUUUCACUUAAUUUUAAAUAUGUUUUAAAGGAUAAUCCUACAAAUAUGGAGAAUGAUUGAAAAUAAAGCACUACAACAAAAGUUAUUUUAAAAAACAUAGAAAUUAGGUUGACAACAUUUCAAGUUCCAAUGAAAUGUUUUCAAACAGACUUCCAUUCUAGAAAACAUUAAAAAACAAUUUUCAAAAACCAUUUUUCAAAACUGUUUUUGAAAACACUUCCAAAUAGAGUCUAUAUAACUCUAUUAUUUCCUUUUAUUUUUCUCUAUUAAGAAAACCAUGUGUUGUCUGUCUCUCAUUUACAUGACCUAACAUUUCUCCUCAACUCAAGCGUUCACACCCUCAAUUAAGCAACCCAAACGCACUUAAUCCCAAAGGUUGUGUUUGUGUUUGGCCCUCGCAACCAACAAAUGCAACGACAUGAAAAUGCUGAAAUUAACUUCAUUCUCACUAACCAAUCUUAAUUUUUCCAGGAAUGACUAUCCUCUAAACAAACAUAUGCGCAAUCAACAAGAAAAACGCACGAGAAAAUAAAAGGCGAAUCCUUGCAUCUAGCACAAAAUGUCUCCACCAACUGAUCCAACACACCACAACACAUUCCCAAAGCAGAAUAUACAAACACCGUUCACAAGAAUUCGGAAAAUUCCAAUAAAAAAAAUCCACAACAUUCUGAAUUUUAAUAAUAAUAAUAAUAAUCAUAAAAAAGGCACCGAAGCAAAACAAAUUACCACAGGAAGGGUUCGAGGCCUAGACGGGGAUGAAAUUCCGUUGUUGCCGAUUCGAAUAGGGCGGAGCUGCCUAGGAAACUGCAAGGGGGACGAUGAGAAGAGCUUGGAAGAAGGGGAGGAAGAAGAAAAGGCUAAAGGAGUGGGGCGUUGAGAAUUCAACGCACGAACUGUAGAGAAAGUGAGCGAGGUGGCCAUUGGAGAGAAACCCUAGAACCAGAUGUUUUGGAUAAAAAUGGAACUGGACCAGAAAAAUCUGCUGGGAAGGGAGGAGAAAAAGAAGUGCGGAGACGAAGAGAACAAGAAGAGAGAUGUUAAGGUGCGGAGGUAUAGUAGAAUAAUAAAUAGGAGGACCAGAUCCGCGGGUGUGGGAGUUUCACAGCUAUGAUCCGACGGCCAGCAUACAUUAUCACACUUGGAGAUCCCAGCAGCCAGAUGCGUGUACUCUCCAUUUUUUUAUUUUAUUUUCACGUGAACCCCAAGGGAAAAUGACUACUCCAAUAAUUUACAUUUUCUUUUACCAAAAAGAUUAAAAAUCGGAUUCAGUAUCCAGAAAGGAUAAAAGAUUUUAAAUAAUUCAAUAUAAAACAUAAUGAGAAAAUCUUUAUAGAAUCAAUCCAACCACGUUCUAGUAAGAAACACCAGUGGGGGCAAGAAGUGGAACUACCGGUAAGCCAACAAGAUCCUCUUCAAAUUCAUGCUACAUUUUAUUAGACCAAUGUCUAAGGCCAAAAAUGAAGACUACAUGUGAGGAAAACGGUUGAGUCUAAAUCCUACAAACUUAAGUUUUUUUAAAAAUCGAUUAUUCAAUGGAAUGAAGAUGUAAAUAAUAAAACAAUGAGACCGGACAUGGUAUAAAACAAUAGGAUCUAAAUGCAUGUAUGAUACGACCUGAUUGAUCAUGCUUUUUGAUAUCGAUUUGGUAAUGUAAGGGGACCUUUUUUAACAUUACGUGAGUUUGGUAAAGGAGGCUGACUUUAUGGGCUGGAUGAACACGUAUGACUGGAGAUGAGAGGAGCAGCAAUACAAUGUUGAUCAUCACUUUACGUAGGCUCCUGCAUGCCACAAUGUUGAUCGUCACUUUCCAGAACACUAAAACCAUUUCAGGGUUCAGAGAAAAUUCGUAAGAGUCCGCACUCAAAACAGCUCUCUUAACAAUAAACUUGAAACAUCAAAUAAUGUUAAAUUACAACGUGGAAGGUUGAUGUCGUGGCAGUAAGUUAUGGCCAAACCUCAUCCAUCACUAGUCAAUGUGAGUGCCAGAAAAACUACUGUAAGUGCAGAGAAUAUGGUUGCACAGGCAAAUACCCACAUCGCCCUGCUCCUCACCCUGCCACUACUAUGGCUUGCCGGGCUGCCCAUCUCGACCUCUUUUAGAAGCUCCCUCACCUCAUCCAUAUUUGAGUCUUUUGCAGCUUGGGUUAGUCUACCAUGAAUUUUAUCAAGCCUACUCAGCCUUUUACUUCGGGAUGCAUCCUUGGCUGACCAGAUAAAACCCGUCAUCUUCCACAGAAGAAUGCCCACAUAGAUGGCCACAACACAGUCCACAGUGUAAUGGUGGCGUUCCCGUAUUUCCCUUUGGGCACUGUGCAAUACAAACAGCCAUAUGACAGCCGAGCUGAAACCUCCAUAAGCUUCCUGCAAACAUUUUUUUUGACACAGAGAAAGACACAAAAUUUAGUAUUAUGCAUUUUAAGCCUCAGUGCUACUGAUCAAUAAAUGUCAAGAGGAGGGAUUGCAAGUGUUUAAUAAAUAUACCGUCCAAGCCAUAGCAGUCAGUACUGCUACAAGAAUGUGGCCACUGUAUAUGAGGUCAUUGCAUCCUCCUCCAGCUUUCUUUAGCAGAUUGUACCAUGACCCGUCAGUAGUAGUUGGUCGCAGGAAGUCUAUAAGGAAGCUCAUUGAACCCCAAUCAGGACGAAAGUCACCAAGGUAAUUUCCAACAUCAGCUGAGAAAGAGGAAGAGAAUUAUUAAACCCACCUCCCUGUAAAACAGGAACCCAUCUGUAGUAGUUCUUAGGGUAGAUCUAAUAAUGGAGAACAUAGAACUCAUGAAGGUUACAGAAUUUAACCCUUUUUCCAACAUUGAAAACUAAAGAAAACUCUCUCAGGGCUUCUGUACAUGUCAACAAUGAAUUUAGAUUUCCAGGAGAUUGGAUGUUGAUUGAAUUGAAGAUUCACUAAAAUCUUGUAAGCACCUUAGUUAUUCCAAACCCAAUAGGCAAGUAGAAGAUGCGAACCUAAGAAUUAAUAGGACUUAUAAAGAAAUUUCAUAGAGAAAAUUGAGAUGAAACAGUGAAUCUGGACAAUAUGAUUUUUGCCAUGGGUACUCUAGCAGUAAUCAAGCGAAUAUAGAGCUUAAAAUCCCUUUUUCUCGCCUCAAGGCUCCACUACAAAACCCCUUCAAAUGCAUUAAACCCAUAAAAUGAGAGGAAAUUAGUUGGGUACAAAACACAUACCAUAGGCUAUAUCACGUUCUAUUACUUGACGAAUAGCAGCUGGAUCCGAAGCAUAAGGGACAUAAUAUUUUUGAGCCCAAUGAUGUGGGUGUGCAGGAACUCUGAAGCGGGCAAAAGCACACCAAGGCCGGGCCGAUGGCAGAAUUGUAGAUACAAAAGUUAUGGCCCGAAGAAAUCGCCCUAUUGCCAUGGUGAACAUGUACCUAGCACCUAGCCCAAGGCCAGGAGCUUUUACAGAGUCGAAUAAUACUGAGAAAGCCAGCAUCAUGAACAGCAUCAAAAAAUGGUGCAAUCCAAUAAUAUGCGCUCUAAGUAUCUCAACCACCGUAGGAGGAAGUUUCUCAUUCAACGCCAGGAGAAACCACUGGCCAGUGUCAGGAAGGGGAGGAGUAUCACUGCCAGACAUGAAUAAGCCAAUUGAUUGUCUCAUUGCUCAACAUACAGUAAACACAAAGUUGAACUAGUGUUGAAAGAUUAUGAUAUUAUCUUGGUAGAAAUAUUCCUGAAAAUGGACUCAGCUGUUGAUAAAUAUCCAUGAAGCAUUCUGGAGGAUCAGAUCCACUAACAGAAACUAUCACGUCUAAUAGAUGUUUUCUGAUCCAGUUGCAAUGAGUUGAUAGCAUUUUCAGGUUAUAUCAAAUGAUUCUUUAAAGAAGAAAUUGCAGCAUCUGCAAUAAUUAAAUCUCUGUCUCUCUAUAGGGAUUUUCAGAUUCAGCUUGAAUAAUGAUCCUGAAAAAGAGGAAUCAUUGCAUCUGUAUGUAUUUAAAUCUCUCAGUCUCCUGAGAUGUUUUCAUAUCUAGUUCAAAUGACGCGUGACUUUAUUUUCAUGUUAUAUCAAAUAAUACUUUAAAAAAGGACCUUUUUUAUGGGCAAAAAGUGAUAUUAUCAACAGCGCAUAAUCAGAAGAGGGCACACCAAAGCUUCAAAAAAGGACUUGUUGCAUCCUAUGUAUUUAAAUCUCUCUUUCUGUGAGUGCGUGCAUCAACAUAUAAAGCAUUACCUAUGUUAAGGAAUCAACAUGAUACGAAUAAAAGUGUCCUUGUUAGGGAUGUUUGAAUAUAAUAACACUUAUGUACAUACAGCACAGUUAUAAAUUCUCUCCUUCUCUCUCUGUGUGUAUGUGAAAAUUUUCAAUCUUACCUACAUGCAACCUGACACCAAUACAAGUAUCCUCAUUGCUGAGUGGUUUGCAUAUGAUAAGAACAUUUAUGUGUGUGUAUAUAGUUAAGGGUUGGGCCCCAAUUUUAAUGAUGAUUUUUAGCAAGAAGACUUGAAAAUCAAUUUGAAACCCUUAGUUAGUGUAAUCGGUAGUCUUUUUGCAUAUAAGCAAAGUGAGGGCAUACUAUAUAAGAAUGAAAGACCUUACUUUAACUUAGGAGACCACAUUGAACCUUAAUUUUUACAUGAAAAUCUCUAAAGGUUUUCUAAAAAGUUUAGUGACUUAACUGACAUUUUUCUGUACUUGAAAAAUACUCAAAAGCAUUGGUUAAAAUAUUUUAACAGUUUUCUAAUGUCUUAAAGUCCCUUAAAGGAUGGUUAAAGCCCUCGAUAAGAGUUAUCGGAGCAUCAAAAUGCAAUGGGGUAUGUAUGUGGUCAUCUAGGCGAUCGUCCAUAUGUGCUUUUUACCAUGCUGAUGUCCGGUUCUAGGGGACUUUUGUGUUUAAUAGGUAGUUUGAUUUCAAAAAGGAAUAAAUGCAUUGCCUUAGACACAUAUAACAUAGGCCUAACAAAUGCAAAUCAUUACUAUUCCAUUGAAACCUUUCUUUAAGACAUUCAAGUAUGCUUUAAACUUAUACUUGCUAACCCUCAUUUAAGAUGCUUAAACUUGAACAUUAAAUUACCUAUCUACUCUUUGUUAGAGUGUUCAUUGUAUUUUUUCUUUCAAUUGCAAUUUAGUGAGAUUGUAAGAAAUGUGUAUGAAUAACAUCUUGAAGUUAUAAAGAACCUGAUGGCCUCCUAUACGUAAUGUGUAUACUAGAAAGGGGAAGAGGAGUGUACUGCCACCUGGCAGCUAGUUGUAAUAGUCUUAGUACAGGUUGGAAGGAGUGUACUGCCAGGUGCAAUUAGCCAUAACGGUCUUAGUACAGGCUGGAAUAACUUUAGGAAAAAGAUGGAAUUUGUGGAGCAGCUGGCUGUUGUGUGAGUCUGGUGGGAGAGUGAUAGCCUCUCGAAUAGCCAUCUUUGUAUCUGUUUGGCCCUUUUCUUGAAAUUUUGGAAAUUCAAUAAUAUUGCUAGUAAUUUUUUCUUCAUUAGAUACCUAUCAAUUUGGUAUCAGAGCAUUGAUCCAGAUGACUCAGAAGAAGAAUGAUGGCCGGGUGGAUUCUCUGGAGAAGGAAGUUGGAGAAAUCAAAGAGGAGAUGCAGCGCCUACUGGGAAUGGAAAAGACCGUGAUGGACCUUGCCUAGAACAUGAUGUGAGUUCUGCAGUUGCUGAAAUUGACACAGAAGGCAGUGGGGGUGUUGUCAUCAGGGCGGGUCACGACGAUUCCUCAUUGUGAGGGAGGCAGGGUGGAUCGAUGCAUGGGAGUAUGAUUGCUACUCAAUGAGAAGACCAUGCGGAAUGGAUCCCUGGAGUUGGGGAAACCAAUGGGGGGUUGGAUAGUGAUGGAUGAGAUGAGGCGAGGCAGAAACGGGGAAUGGCAUGGAGAUGGCACUUGGAGAUGCCUGUGUUUAUGGGAGACAACCCGAACGACUCGAUCUUUCGAGGUAAUCAAUACUUCAUAAUGAAUGGACUCACGAAAGAGGAGAAAUUAGUUGCCCCUACGAUGAGUCUUGAUGGGGACACACUUUCUUGGUACCAGUGGAUUGAUUCGAGAGAGGCAUUUGGGAGCUGGGAAAAUUUGAAGAGGCGACUGCUGCUCCGCUUUCGUCUGACUCAAGAAGGGAGCCUUUGUGAGCAGUUUCUUGCAGUGCGUCAGGAAGGGAUAGUGGCGGCUUACUAGCAGGAGUUUGAGAUUCUAGUUGCUCCCUUGAAGGGGAUUUCUGAGGAGGUAAUAGAAAGCACAUUUGUGAGCGGACUGCUUCUUGAGAUUUGGGUUGAGAUACAUUUUCUGCAACCAUGUGGGCUAGGCCACUUGAUGGAAAUGGCUCAACAGGUCGAAGACAGAAAUUUAAUCUUGUGGGCGGCCCAUGAACCAAGGGACCCAAAGAACACCAAAAUAUUGUCGUUCGCAAAUCGGGGGGAUUGGAAGACUAGGGAAACUUUUCAAACUAGGGCAAUGACUACUAGUGAUGUGAGAUUCUGAGUCUCUGACAAAGAGAUUGACGGAGUAUGAGCUCCAAGCCCGUAGAGAGAAGGGACUUUGUUUUUAGUGUGAUGAGAAGUUCUCACUUGGCCAUCGUUGUAAGAAGGAAUUAAGGGUUUUGCUGGUGCACGAAGAUGAGGAGGAGGAUAAUCAGUUUGAUGGUGAAGCAACUGUGGAACCUCCACUGAUUGAGCUGAAAGAUGUUGUGAAGUUAUCUCUAAAUUCUGUGGUCAGUUUAACAACAUCGGGGACUAUGAAAAUCAAGGGGACGAUCAAGCUGAAUGAGGUAAUCAAUCUUGUGGACGGUGGGGCUACCCACAAUUUUUACCCCUUGAUUUAGUUCAAUGAUUAGCACUUCCAUUAACUACAACAACCAAUUACGAGGUGGUGAUGGGAAUUGGGAUAUCCGUGAAAGAGAAGGGCAUUUGUAGGGGAGUUUGUAUUUCGAUGCAGGGGCUCACUGUAGUGUAAGAUUUUCUUCCACUUGAAUUAGGCAACACUGAUGUAAUUUUGGGAAUGCCUUGGUUGGGGACUUUAGGAUACAUGGAGGUAAAUUGGAAGAUGCUAAUGAUGAAGAUCAAAAUGGGGAAGUGGUGAUAUUGUUAAAGGGAGACCCAAGCCUCAGUAAGACCAAGGUGUCUCUUAAGGCAAUGGCUAGAGCAUUGCAGCACCGUGGCUAGAGGGUGUGGGUGGAACUCUAUCAAAUUUCCACCGAUUCAAGUUCAAGUGAAGGAGUAUAGGAGGUCCCAAAAGCAGUCAAAGAAGGACUAGCUCAACAUCAACAAGUCUUUGGGCAAAUGACGGAGUUACCACCGAAUCGUAAUAUUGACCAUGCCAUCCGAUUGAUUUUGAGAGCGCCACCAGUUAAUGUUCGUACCUAUCGAUACCCACAUAUUCUAAAGAAUAAAAUAGAGAGAUUGGUACAAGACAUGAUUGAGGCAGGAAUUAUUUGGCCUAGCUUAAGUCCAUUUUCUAGUCCAAUGUUGCUGGUUAAAAAAAAAAAGAUGGAGGAUGGAGGUUUUGCAUAGAUUAUUGUGCACUCAACAAAGUUACAAUUCUGGAUCGGUUCCUUAUUCCAGUAAUCAAUGAGUUACUUGACGAACUUCAUGGCAUAACCAUUUUUUCCAAGCUAUACCUCAAAUAUGAUUACCACCAUAUUUGAGUUCGAUAACAAGAUAUCCAUAAAACAGCGUUCCGCAUCCAUGAAGGUCACUACGAGUUCUUGGUGAUGCUUUUUGGGCUAACCAAUGCAUUGACGACCUUCCAAUCGUUAAUGAACCGUAUAUUUCGACUACAUCUUUGGAAAUUCGUGCUUGUAUUUUUUUAUGACGUACUAAUUUAUAGCAAGGACUUGAAGGAGCAUUGUGAUCACUUGCAAAGGGUGUUGUUCAUUCUGGCUAACCACUAGUUGCACGCCAAUGAGAAGAAGUGUCUCUUUGCUAAACCGCAGCUAGAAUACUUGGGUCGUUUGGUUUCUACUGAGGGGGUUGCUGUUGACCCCAACAAGUUUCAACCAUGAUAGAGUGACCCACACCCAAAUCCCUCAAAGAAUUGCGAGGGUUUCUUGAAUUGACCAGGUACUACCGUCAAUUUGUCAAGGGAUAUGGAGAUAUUUCUUGGCCCCUCAGUUAGCAACUCAAAAAGGAUGCUUUUAAUUGGAACCCAGAGGUUGAGAUUGCCUUCCAAAAGUUGAAAACAGUUAUGACAACAGUUCCUAUUUAGGCCUUGCCCGAUUUCACUCAGCUCUUCAUUGUGGAGACGGAUGUCUCGAGGUAUGGUUUAGGCGCUAUUUUGAUGUAAGGUCAAUGACCGAUGGCUUAUUUUAGCCAAGUCCUCUCGGUAAGGGUGUGACAAAAGUCCAUAUAUGAAAGGGAGUUAAUGACUAUUGUCUUAGCAGUUUAGAAGUGGCGUCACUACUUGCUUGGUCACCACUUUAUUGUGCGAACGGACCAAAGUAGUUUGAAGUUUUUGUAGAGCAAAGGGUGGUGAAUGAGUCGUACCAAAAGUGGGUCACAAAGUUGUUCGAGUACAAUUUUGAAAUUCAGUUUCGGCCUAGAUUGGAGAAUAAGGCAGCUGACGCCCUAUCUCGCAUCCCCAUAUCUAUUGAGUUAGGUACCCUCAUGGUUCCCAAUCGCUUGGACACUUCGGUGGUUUAUUCACAGGUUGAAGCUAACCCUCACCUUGCUAAGAUUUGACUAGGGUUGUUGGUUAAUCUAGAUGCUUAUCCUUGAUAUUCUUUGGACCAUGGCCUUCUUGUCUACAAGGGGUGCCUAGUUCUUCCCAAGGCCUCACCCCUUAUUUUGACACUUCUUCAAGAGGGCAUGCUAGCGUGGUUGGAGGUCAUUCUGGGUUCUUGCGGACUUACAAAUGGCUCACAUGGGACUUUUUUUGGGUUGGCAUGAAGAAUGACAUCAAAGGGUUUGUGGAAAAGUGUUCAAUGUGUCAACAAAAUAAAGUCUUUACUUUGUCACUGGUUGGGUUAAUAAAAACCAUUGCCUACUCCAGAAAAAAUAUGGGUUGAUGUGAUGAUGGACUUUAUUGAGGGGCUCCCUAAGUCAAAGGGUUAUGAUUCCAUCUUAGUUAUUGUUAGAUUGAGCAAUUAUGCUCACUUCUCCUUGCUUAAGCAUCCUUUCACAGCCUAAAUGGUGGUUGCUGUUUUUGUUUGUGAUAUUGUCAAAUUGCAUGGAAUUCCCUAUUCCAUUAUUCCGAUCAUGACAAAGUAUUUCCUAGUCGAUUUUGGAUGGACCUAUUCCGAUUGCAAGGUACCUCCUCUGUCGUGGUACUGCUUACAUCCUCAAAUAGAUGGAUAAACGGAGGUGGUCAACUGUUGUGUGAAGGCAUACCUUUGAUGCUUUUCAUAUGACAAGCCUCGAUGUUAGUCUACAUGGCUUCCGUGGGCGGAGUACUAGUAUCAUAACAUGUUCCACGCAUCCACUAAUAUGACAUUGUUUUGAGCGAUUUAUGAGUAGGAAGCCCCAUCAUUGCUACGUUAUGGAUCAGAUUCUACAUUUGUUUUGCCAGUGGAUCAGUUGCAGUAAGAGCAUGAUCGAAUUUUAAAUGAACUGAAGGACCAUCUCAGUUGUGCCCAGUCCAAAAUGAAGUCAUCUGCAAUGUCCAUCGUCGUGCAAUGCAAUUUGAAGUUGGGGAUUUUGUCUAUCUCAAUCUUCGUCAUUACCGUCUUCGUUCCCUUGCAAGGCGACCCAAUGAAAAGCUCUCUCCAUGGUAUUUUAGCCCUUACAAGGUGGUGCAGCAAAUUGGUCUAGUGGUGUACAAGUUAGAGCUCCCUUCUUCCACAACUAUUCAUCCAGUGUUUCAUGUUUCACAGCUCAAGUGGGCUCUUGGUUCAGCUGAUUUAUGUCAGCCACUUUCCCCUAGUCUUGUUGAUGAUUUCGAGUGGCUUGUGGAGCUUGAUCAAGUCUUAGGUGUUCGACAGUCUCCCAAUAUCAAUCCUCCUAUUAGUGAAGUACUUAUCCAAUGGAAAGGACUUCCGCAGUUUGAGGCUUCAUGGGAAUCACUCGACAUGAUUAAGGAGCACUUUCUUGGCUUCCACCUUAAGGACAAGAUGUCUUGCAUUGGGGGGAGGGGGAGGGGGGUUGUCGAUGAUAGGCUUCCUAUACGUUAUGUGUAUCCUAGAAAGGGGAAGAGGAGUGUAUUGCCACCCAUGGUUUGAAAUAUUGGUAAACAGGGAUAUAUCAGCACUUGAAUUUUACAGAUAUAUCGGAAAUAUCAGAGAAAUAUCAAUGGAUAUUUUGACAAAAAUAUUGGUAAGGGGAAAAUUAUUCAAAAAUCAUGGAAAUAUUUGGAAAAACUCCAAAAAAUGAUAAAAUAAAUAAAAUAUACAUGUUAAAAUUAUUUCCUAAGUGUAAUUGACAUACAUAUGGUUAAAGAGAAAAAUAUCAAUAAGUAAAGAUAAAUCAAUAUUAAUAAUUUAUUAUUUAUUAUUUAUCUAAUCAAAUUAAUUUUAAUUUAUAAAAAAUUAAAACUUCAUUAUUAUUAUUAUUAUUAUUAUUAUUAUUUUAGUAUUUUUUGAAAAAAUUUAUAUUUUUAAUAUUUUAAAAUAAAAGCAUUCAAAAUUAAAUAAAAUUAAAAUGAUAAAUAUAAAAAAUUUAAAAGUGAAUUGAUAAUAAUUUUUUAAAAUAGGAUUAAUGAGAUAAAUGAUGAUACAUUUAAUAUUAAAACUAUAAUUUAUUUAAUUCAAAUGCAUUCAAUAAUGUAAAAUAAAUGAUGAUGCAUAUAUGAUUUUUUAAUAUUUAUAUUUUUUAUAUUUAAUUAUCACAUAAACGAUAUUAAAAAAUAUUUGUUGAAAAAAUUAUAAUGAUGGAUUUUAUACAUUUAUUAAUUAAUUAAAUAAAAUUUAAAGUAAAAUAAUUAUAAUUAAUUAAUUAAUUUUUUAAUAAUAAACUUUAACAAAUUUAUUAUCAACAUAUAUUAUUAAGUGUGAACUUGGCCCAGUGGUAAUUAGGCUUAAACCCAAGCUUUUUGGCUUGAGUUCGAAUCCCCUAAGCCGCAGCAGCAACGUAAACAUUUCAAAAAAGUUUUGACCACCAAAAAUAUUGAGAAAUAUCCUGAUAAAUCAGAAAAAACAUUUCACCGCAAAAAUUGACGAAAAGUCGGCCGAUCGAUUAUCGAUGAAGAAUAUUAUGUCAGUCAGCUCCGAUAACUGAAAUAUUUUUGCCAAAAAAAUCCAACAUUUCAAACCAUUCUGCCACCUAACAGUUAGUUGUAACAGUCUUGUAUCUGUUUGACCCUUUUCUUGAAAUUCUGGAAAUUCAAUAAUAUUGCUAGUAAUUUUUUCUUCAAUAGAUACCUAUCAGAACCAUCUAGAACCUAGGGAAUCUAAAUGUAAAUAAGAUUUAAAAGAGUCUUUGUUGAGAAGAUUCUUGGUUUGGUCGAACACUUUAAGGCUUGUGAAGGAGCUCAAAGACGUAGACAUAGGGGUGUUACUAAACCACAAUAAAAUCACAAUGUUUGUAAUCUUUCUUCUCUUAAUUCUCUUUAAUUUCAGUACUUUACUUUUAUUAUUUGCAUCAUAUAUUGUUUGUAUUUAAAUUUGGAUAAAAAGUUCAAAAAGAGACCACCCAAUUCACCCCACCAAUCCCCACUCUCCUGGGUGAUUACCUACAUUUGCUUAGCAAGACUACUUAAAUAUACACAACUGUGAUGGCAAAUCAAGACUAGCAUUGUUGUUGGUCAUAAGAAUUAAAUUGCCAUUCUAAGUAGAUACAUUAUAACAGCUCUGGACAGUCUAUAUGUCUAAUUAUUAGAAAUCACAACUAGCCCUAUAGUUCCAAUAAACUGAACAUAUAUUUGAAAAAAAAAAUCUGGAAAUUCACAAAAAGUUCCAUUAUCUCUCUCCAUCUAUUUGGAAUUGAUAUCACCAGCCAAGGUCAAUGAUUCCAAUUCAUAUACAGUCAGAACGCCCAGAGUAGAGUGUGAUUCCAAUAUUUUCUCCUUACCAGGUAAACUUUUCAGGCAUCCCCAUAAUUUUAGAGAAAUAUAAUUGGUUUUGUCCAAAAAACCUAUUCUUGUUUACUCUAUUUAUCCUAAAUUACUUCAUUUGAUCUCAAAUAUAAUUUGGUUUUUCCUUAAGCUUUUCAUUGAUGCUCAAUGCUCACUCCACACACUUAAUUUCUUAAAUUGCUAAUGUUAUCCUCAGUGGCCAUACAAUAUUCUUUCUUUUUUUUUUUCUUUUUUUUAGACAGAUAAAACCAAUUGCAUUAAAAAUAAAAAUGCCACAAGGACACAUCAAUGUACAUAGGAUGUAUACAAAUAGCACCUAACAGCACAAAAACAUGAAAAGAACCCAAGCAACAACCCCCACCCUUAACCAGAACCCAACCACUCAAUGAAAUAAAGUAAAGACUAAGAAUCUAUCUCUAUGUACUUCUUUACCUAAGUGAACAAAUUCCUAAGAAAGAACAUCUUCAAAAACUAAGCAAAAUGCUCCUCAUUAUCAUACAACCUGAGAUUUCUUAUUACACCAUACAAGAUUCUUAUUACACCAUAAAGGCCCCUAUAUUUGACAGAUAUGCCUGGUUAAGUAGAAGAUUAUGCAUGGAAAACCUAUUCUAAUUCUAUGAUAAAUGUCCUACUUCAUGCCAUCUUCCUUUUGAAUAAUUGGAAUGAAAUGGCCUGUUCGGGAUAUCUACUAAUCAAUGAUUUUUUAAUUUACCAAAAUUUCUCUUCAAGUCAACCUCCAACACUGAGAAGUUCAUUUCUACAAAUUUCUUUGCUAUGUUGCUCCCCUGGUUCCAAGCCAAGAAAAACCACUAAAAUCAAGAUCCCCAACAAACAACCAUCAGUUGAGGUUCAUACACACAGAUACUGGGAAAUGGGACAUAGGCCUUCAAUCCUAUAUUCAAUUAUGACUAUCUUUUGCUAAAUGCCGAUUAAACCAUACUGGAUUCCCUGCCUAAUUGAUAAAAAUAUUGUCAAAAAAAUGCAUAUACAUGAGUUACAGUGUUGAAGGGGAAUAACAACAUAUGGAUUUUAUCACUUCUAUGUAAAACAUUUCGAAUAUUACACUAGAAGAACUUAGAAGUUAUCCAGCAAGCAUACAUUUCACUAAAGAAAGCAUACGCUGUGAACAUGAUUGAUUAGUUCACCAACUUCAACACUUCAUAUCAGCCAUAUCUCCUUGGCCAAAUCAAGGAUGGAACAAGACUCCACAAAAUGUUCUGAAACAUGUGUGCAUAUGGAUAGUUCAAAUAAGCUAUAAAAUUACUUGCACAAAUUUUCCAGCAAAAAAAAUGCAAAAAAUAUUCAAUUGAAGACUUUAUUUUAAUUGCAACUAAUCAUAAUGAAUACCAAAUGCAUAUUGUGAAAGUCUCAAGUGCAGAGUUUGAUACACUGUUCUGCAAGCUUACUGUUAGGCCUUUGGUUCACCAACUACAAAUGGAAGGUUGAAACAAUCAAACCUUGGGCAGCUGGACCACCCUGAAACCUACACAUAUUUUUUUUGAUAAGUCCCUGGAGUCUAGACUAAUUUCGAUUAGUUCUUGCUGCUACAUGCCUAUUUGAUGGGAGGCAGUUUUUUUUUGGGUGAUUAUUAACCAACAUUUUGAUUAAUUAACACUAAAGCUAAACCUCUUUUGAGUUACAAUUAAUCAACAUUUGGAUCCAAGAAAAUUUUAAAGUCAAAGUCAUCAAUAAGGAGCAAACCCUAAAUCUGCUUUGAGUUACAAUGAAUCAACAUUUAGAUCAAAGAGCAUUUUAAAGUCAGACUCAUCACUUAGGGAACAAACCCUAAAUCUGGCAUUUUGAUUCCAGCCACUUUCCAAAUUUAUAUGAAUCAGAAAAACCCGCAAAAUAACACACCGAUUAGUCAACAAUUGAACAAGAAAUCAAAUCUAAAACCUUAGUCAUGUCUUUCAACAAAAUACCUCAAAAUGAAGACAAAUCGAACUCCAUACACAAAGAAAUUAAAGCAAACGCAACGCAAAUCAAACACGACCCACAUAAGAUUAACCCAAAAUGAGAACGUAACACUCAAUACACUUCAAUUUUCAUUUGAUUCGCCAUCUGGCUCCCCCCAUUUUCCAUCCAAAAACCCAUAACCCCAGGGUCCCCAACCAACAGAAAAUGCAACACAACAGUCCAAUUACCUGUGCCAAUCGAGACCGAGAACGGCGGUCACGGAGCGAACAGAGAGAACUUCAAAGAGACAGGUGGAGAGCAUGAAGAUCAUCGAAGCAACAAAGGGCAAAACAGAACGGAACUCCAUGGACCAGUGCUUGUAGAAGGGGACGCGAGCGACGGCUACUAGAGCGAGCACUGACCAGAGAGCAGGCAUUAGCCAGGAGUGCCAUGCCGGAGCCAGGUACCGGAGGUAAUCAACAGCCACGUAGGCUAUGGCGGCCACACCUAGUCCCCCGGCCCUCGCCCUCGCAGUCACCGGAGGUCGCCACUUCAUAGCUGUGGAGAAGAGAGGGAGCAGUGAUCCAAGCAAAAUUAUUUUUCAAAACAUCGUUCCAUUAAUAUUCGUUAAAGAGAAUAGUAACGGAAGCUAUCUGGAAAGCCGGGUUCACAUUCCCAGAAACAUGCAUCCAAAAUAAGAAAGAAAUUUUUUACUUUCUCUAAUUCUUUUUAUCUUUCAUUCUCUCAAUUUUCUCAAUUCUUUUUUAUGAUUUUUUUCCCUAUAAAUAUUAUUAUUAAAAUAAUAUAUAAUUUAUUUCUAUUACUUUAUUUGCAUUGCAUUUAUUCUUGUUUCACAACGAUUUAUCAACACAAAUUGCUUUGAAGGUAAUUAUCAUAUCUUAAACUUGAAGUUAUUUAUAUAGAAUAAAAUUUUACAUAUUUAUAUUAUUGUUGAUUUGUUUUGUCAUAUAUUGUUAAAAGUUAUAAACAAAUUAUUUAACUUUGUUUAUAAUCAAAGUUAUACCAAUGCUAUCAAUUUAUUAUAACUGAUUCAAAUAAUAUUGUUUUGUCAUAUAUAUAUGAAGUUAUUUGACAAUAUCGAAUCUCACAAAACUCGAAUUUGUAGCACUUGAUAUUUCAGGAAAGAACUAUCUAUCUUGGAUCUUGAUGCUGAAAUACAUCUUGAUGUAAUGAAUUUUGGAGCUAUGAUCAAAGAAAGAAAUAAAGCAUCCUUGGAGGAUCGUGUAAAAACAUUGAUUUUCCUUUGUCAUAAUCUCCAUGAAGGUUUAAAAAAUAUAAAAAUAAAUAAUGAGCUUUUGAUGAUAAAUCACCAGUCUCGUCUAACUAGAUUUGAACCAUUCCUUGAAAUGAAUACUUCCUUGAAAUGAAUACAAUAUCGUCAUAAACUCGUGGACGAGGACGUGGUCGUGGUUGUGGAAGAAAUCUCCGAUACCAUGGUUCUUAUAGUAAUAAUUCAUCAAAUUCUCAAAAAAUGAAAGCCUCAUUGCACCAUCAGAAGUGGAACAAUAUUGAGGUAUAACAAAAAAAUGGGAAGUGUUUAUAAGAUAAAUCUCCUAAAAACCAUAAGAAUAAUUGUUAUAGAUAUGGCAUGAAGGGACAUUAGUCGCGUACAUGUCGUACGCCCAAACGUUUGGUUGACCUUUACCAAGCAUUAAUAAAAGCAAAAGGAAAAGAGAUAGAGAUGAACUUUAUCGAUAAUAAUGGAUUGGACCUAACCUACUAUGACAUAGAUUUCUUUGGAGGUCCCAGUAAAAAACAGACCAUUUAAUAAAUGAUGAGAAGAUUAACAUUGAUUGAUGUUAAUUUAUAUAUCAAAUAAUAUAGUAUUAUGUUUUAUAUUUACAUCUGAUUUUUUUUUUUUUGUUAUUUACAUUAUGCCUUGUUUUUUUAGUUAUAUCUGAAAUCCAUGUGUUAUUUGGUCUCAAGAUGAAUGAGGAUGAUGUAUGUCUCACAGACUAUGCAACCACGCACACAAUUCUUUGAGAUAAAAGAUAUUUUUUCGAAUUGACAUUAAUAAAAGCUAAUGUAAGUACCAUAUUUAGUACUACAAACUUAGUUGAAGGCUCUAGAAGAGCAAACAUAACACUACCAAAUGGAACUAGAUUCCAUAUAAAUGACACUUUAUAUUCUAGCAAAUCUAGAAUAAAUUUGCUCAAUUUUAAAGAUAUCCGCAGAAAUGGAUAUCAUAUUGAAACUAUGAAUGAAGAUAAUGUAGAAUAUCUUUACAUUACUUCUAUUAUAUAUGGCAAGAAGCUUAUAAUGGAAAAACUCACGAAUUUCUUUUCUAGGUUGUAUCAUACAACUAUAAAGCCUAUUGAAUCAUAUGUUGUCGUGAACCAGAAGUUCAACAACCCAAAAGUUUUUUUCCUUUGGCAUGACAGACUAGGUCACCCGAGGUCUUCAAUGAUGUGUCGAAUAAUCAAACACUCACAUGGGCAUCCACUAAGGAACCAGAAGAUUCUUUUGCCCAAUGAAUACUCAUGUGCUGCCUGCUCACAAGGUAAAUUGAUAGUCAGACCAUCUUUUACUAAAGUCAUAUAUGAGUCACUAGUCUUUUUAGAAAGAAUACAUGGAGACAUAUGUGGGCCUAUUCAUCCACCAUGUGGACUAUUCCAUUAUUUUAUGAUCUUAAUAGAUGCUUCUACUAGGUGGUCACAUGUUUGUCUCUUUUCUACACGUAAGGUUGCCUUUUCUAGACUCCUUGCACAAAUAAUCAGAUUACGAGUACAAUUUCCAGAUUAUCCAAUUAAGACAAUACAUCUUGAUAAUGCUGGUGAAUUUACUUCUCAAACAUUCAUUGACUAUUGCAUAUUAGUAUGGAUAAAUAUUGAGCAUCCUGUUGCUCAUACUCAUACCCAAAAUGGUUUAGCAGAAUCCUUCAUCAAACAUCUCCAAUUAAUAGCUCGACCAUUACUAAUGAAAACUAAACUACCUACUUCUGCCUAGGGACAUGCUAUUAUGCAUGGUGCAACUUUAGUUCGUAUUCGACUUACAACUUACUAUGAAUACUCUCCUUCACAACUUGUGCUUGGAAAACAACCAAACAUCUCUCACUUGCGAAUCUUUGGUUGUGCAGUAUACGUACCAAUUGCACCUACACAACGCACCAAAAUCGGUCUCCAAUGAAGACUUGGGAUUUAUGUAGGUUUUGAUUCUCUAUCUAUCAUAAGAUAUCUUGAGCCUUUGACAGACGAUGUUUUUACAGCCUGCUUUGCGGAUUGUCAUUUUAAUGAUAGUGUUUUCCCAUCAUUAGGGGGAGAAAAGUCGAUUCCUGAAGAACAACGAGAAAUUAGUUGGAAGACAUCUACUACUAUGACUCAUCUUGAUCUUCGUACAAAUCAAUGUGAACUAGAAGUUCAAAGGAUCAUUCAUUUGAAAAGUCUUGCAAAUCAAUUACCAGACGCAUUCAUUGAUACAAAGAAAGUGACAAAGUCUUAUAUUCUGACUGCAAAUACUCCAACACAGAUUGAUGUCCUUGUAGAACAGUUAACAAAUGAAUCUAAGAUAUGCUUGAAGCGUGGUAGACCUAUUGGCUCAAAGGAUGUAACUUCCCGAAAGAGGAGAACCCAAGAAAAACUUGGCACUAUAAAAUAGGCCAUCAAAAUGACUGAUCAAUUUAAAAUUGAUAAAUCUAUAGCCCCUGAAGAGGCACAUAUUGAACAAGAAGCCCUUGAAGAGGCACAUGUACCUGAAAAUUGUGAGAUCUCAGUAAGUUAUGUACACACGGGAAAAAAAUGGGAUCAAAAUAAUAUUGUUAUUGAGAAAAUAAAGGUUAUGCUUAAAUAAGAAAAACACCCAAAAGGGGAGUGAAUUAGGUUUUUCAAAAACUUUUUCAACACAAAAAAUUUAAGUACAAUAUAAUAAAAAAUAAAGAGAUAGAGUUAUAGAAUUCAAACUUGGAUUUUAUAGUGGUUCAACACUUCUUUACCUAUGUCCACUCUUUUCAAUCUCCUAACUGAGUGAGGUUUCUACUAACUUAAAGCUUCAACCAAGCUUUCAAUUUUCUUACACUUGGAUUCCGACUCCAAUGGGCUCUUACACAAUUUCUUCAAGAUUCAAACCUCUUGAACAUUUUAACACUCAAUUUUUACAAGAAUGAAUCCCUCAACCUAGCUCAAAGAUAACUCAAAUACAAAACAAAGUUAGGAUGACUAACAAGGAUGCAUUAAAAGAUAUGCAAGUGAGGAUUUAAUGCACUAAAAAAGAAAUGAGAGCUUUUAAGCCAAGAACAAGUGGGUAGACAAUUGAUUGCAAGUGUUCUCAAUUUAUAAGUUUCUAAACUCGGGAGCCAAGAAAAGCAAAAGGUAGUCUCGACCGGUCGAGUUGGGGGUUGACCGGUUCACUAGCCAUUGGAGCAUUUAAUGUUUUGACAGGUUACCAUUGCCUAGACCGGGAAGAAGGAAACCUCAAUUGGGAAAAGGAAGCUACUGGAUGAGAAAGAGUGUUUUUGGUACUCCUCGAUUGGACCUCGACCGAACAAGGGCAACCGGUUGAGCCGGUUGGCCAGAACCUCGACCAGUUUAGCAUUUUGGCCCCGAAAACCUAUCUUUUUCAAUUCCUUUCUUUUCUAACACUUAGGCAAGGUCUUUAGGUAAAUUAAUAUGCCAAUUUUAAAACGUUUUGCCUAAGGUACAUUUGAUAAAACUCGAGUUUUAAUGAAAUCAAAAUUUUAAAGAAUAAACUGAGUUUUCAAAGAUGCAUGAAAAUGUAUGAAAAACCUAAAUGCACCCAUGCAUUCAUCUUACAUUCGUUUCCUAUGAUCAAAAGUCUUCCAAAAGUCUCGAUCUUGUAUCCAUUUGGUCAUUUGAUGAAUUUCCGAAUUUAUACCUGAGAUUCUUUUACCAUUCAAAUCAAUUAGUCACUUAACCAUGAUUGGUUAUCAUCAAAACCUGAUUAGGAGAACCCUUGGGCUAACAGUUAUUAACAAUAUUUUCGCUUUCCAAGUAGCCUCUGAUAUCAUAAGAAAUGAUGAAGAUCUUGAACCAAAAAAUAUGGAAGAAUACUGACAUAGAAAUGAUUGGCCAAAAUGGAAAGAAGCUAUACAGGCAAAGUUAAACUCAUUAACAAAAUGAGAAGUUUUUGGACCUAUAGUCCAAACACCUGAAGAUGUAAAGCCUGUUGGGUACAAAUGGUAUUUGUAUGAAAGCGUAAUGAGAAUAAUGAGAUUAUAAGAUAUAAAGUGCAAUUAGUAGCAUAAGGUUUCUCGUAGAGACCUGGUAUUGACUACGAGGAAACAUAUUCUCCCAUCAUGGACGCAAUCACAUUUCGUUUCUUAAUUAGUUUGACAUUCUCAGAAGGACUGGAUGUGUGUCUCAUGAAUGUUAUUACAACAUAUUUAUACAGAUCCAUGGAUAAUGAUAUAUACAUAAAAAUCCCUAAAGGAUUUAAAUUGCUUGAAGUAAAUAGUACAAAGCCUCACAACAUGUACUAAAUCAAGUUACAAUGAUCGUUGUAUGGAUUAAAGCAAUUUGGACGCAUGUGGUACAAUCAUCUUAGUGAAUACUUGCUAAAAUAAGGGUGUGUGAAUAAACCUAUAUGCUCAUGCAUCUUCAUUAAGAAAUCAAAAACCGGAUUUGCAAUUAUUGUAAUGUAUGUUGAUGACUUAAAUCUUGUUGGAACUCUUGAAGAGCUCACAAGAACAACAAAUUACUUGAAAAAUGAAUUUGAAAUGAAAGAUCUUGAAAUUUUUUUUUUCUCGGCCUAUAAGUCGAGUAUUUUCCAAAUAGAGUUUUAGUACAUCAAUCAACAUACAUUAAUAAAGUUUUGAAACAUUUUUAUAUGGAUAAAACGCAUCUUUUAAGUUCUCCAAUGGUUGUCCAAUCAUUUGAUGCGAAAAAGGACCCAUUUUGUCCUUGUGAAAAAGAUGAAGAAUUACUUGGUCCUGAAAUACCAUAUCUUAGUGCUAUUGGUGCACUUAUGUAUCUUGCCAAUUGUACACGUCUAGACAUUGUUUUUUUUUUUUGUCAAUUUAUUAGCAAGAUACAGUUCCGCUCCCACUUGAAGACAUUGGAAUGGUAUUAAACAUAUAUUGCGUUAUCUUUGCGGAACUACUGAUACGAGUCUAUUUUACUCAAGGGAAUCAAAGCAACAAUUGCUUGGAUAUGCAGAUGCAUGAUAUCUUUCAGAUCCACAUAAAGGUAGGUCACAAUUAGGGUAUGUGUUUAAUUGCAAUGGUACUGCUAUUUCAUGGAGAUUUGUCAAACAAACAAUAGUGACCACAUCGUCAAAUCAUUCAAAAAUACUGACAAUUCAUAAAGCAAGUUGUGAAUGUAUAUGACUAAGAUUUAUGAUCCAGCAUAUUCGGGAAUCAUGUGGACUCUCCUUUAUCAAAGGUGACCCGACAAUAUUAUUUGAAGAUAAUGUUGCAUGCAUUACACAAAUAACAGGGAGUUAUGUUAAAGGGGAUAGAACUAAACACAUUUCACCAAAAUUAUUUUAUACACAUGAAUUCUAGAAGAGUGGUGAAAUUGAUGUGCAAAAAAUAUGCUCAAGUGUUAAUCUAGUAGAUUUAUUCACAAAAUCAUUGUCAACCUCAACAUUCAAGAAGUUAAUACACAAGAUUGGAAUACGUCAACUCAAGGAUAUUGACAUGAGGAGGAGUAUGCUUGUAAAAGGGUGUUAGUGUACUAUACUCUUUUUUCCUUCGUCCAGGUUUUGUCCUACUGGGUUUUACUAGCAAGGUUUUUAACGAGGCAAUCCUAACAUACCAAGAGCAACUUAAAGAAUUAUAAGAAUAUUGUACUAUUUUUCCUUCGCUAGGUUUUUCCCAUAAUGUUUUUUACUAGCAAGGUUUUAAUGAGACAUAUUCUUUAAUGUGGUGGACAUCCAAGGGGGAGUAUUAUAACUGAAGUAAUAAAUGUCACCACAUUAAUUACAAUAAAUGUUAAUUAAGUAUUAUUUAUGAUUUCCAUUAAUAUUCAUUAAUGGAAACUAUUAAUGUUAUUUAUGAGUCUCAUUAAUGGAAACCAUUAAUGUUAUUUAUGAGUUCCAUUAAUAUUCAUUAAUGGGAAUAUUAAUGGAAGCCAUUUGGAAAGCCCAUAAAAAGGGCUUCCCAUCCUCUGUCAUAUGCAUCCAAAACAAGAAAGAAAUUUCUUACUUUCUCUCAUUCUCUCUAUAUUUCAUUCUCUCAACUUUCUCAAUUCUCUUUUGUGAUUUUUUUCCCUAUUAUAUAUUAUUAUCAAAGUAAUAUAUAAUUUAUUUCUACUAAUUUAUUUGCGUUACAUUUAUCCUUGUUUUACAACAAAAAAGUAUUUUUAAAUACGCCAUUUGACCCAAAAAAAAGAAAAGAAAAGAAUUUAAGAAAAUGCAAUAUGAUAUUAAAUCUGAAUUUAUAUAACAUUUUCUUUCAUAGUAUAUGCCACCUCAUUUUUCAAAAAAUUUCUUUCCAUCCCUUUAAUAAAUAAAUAAAUAAAAUAAAAUUUUCUUUAUUUUUUAUUUUAAUAAAUAAAUAAUUUUAUUUAAAAUUCAAUGGUGAUUUGAGGGGAGCAUAAAGAAAUUAACGUAAAUGUGAUACAAAUAUUUUAAUCUUUUUAUUUAUUUUUUCAUAUUAUAGUGCUUAUAACCAAAUUUUUAUUACAAGUAUGAAGGAUUCAAUAAAUAUUUAUAAAUUUCAAUCAAAUGGUAAUUUGCCUGAAAUUUCAUUUAUGCAUUAUUAAUAUCUCAUAUUAGUCAUUAAACAUCAUUUGUAAAAUAUUUAGAGAGUGUUUCUAUUUGAAGUGUUUUUAGUAAAAGUGCUUUUUUUGACAGUGUUUUUAAGAGAAUCAUCUAUCAAGAGCCCGUUUGGCAGUGAUUUUCAAAACUGUUUCUACCCUUAAAAACACUUUUCAGUGUUUUUGGGAUAAAAAUAAAGUGUUUAACAAAUUUUUAAAAACACUUUUGAAAAUCUGGGAAAACACUUAAAGUGAUUUUUAGAUAAUCACUUGACAAGUGUUUUUUAAAAAAAACACUUCAAAAAAUUUGAAAUAUUCCAAAAAUGCCCCCAAGUGAUUCCUGAUAUCUUCCUUCCUUUUCGCUCAUACCUCUCUCCUUCAUUCUCCUCCUCCAUCGCUCUCCAUCCGAGACUACACAGUAGGAAAGACACUCCACUUUUAUUCAACAUCGUUGAUCGGAUCGAAGGUAACCCUCUGUUCUUUUGUUGUUUUUCUUUUCUAUUUUUUUUUUAAUGUCUGAUUGUCUUGAAAUGUUAGUUAGGGUUUUAGGUUUUAGGAUUGUUUAGUUAAGAGAAAAAUAUGAGAAAAUGAAACUUGUAAAUCCUCAAAUGUUUUUAUAGGAAUUACUUCCAAGCCUUAACAAUUUUAGAUCUAUUUUUCAAUAGAGCAGUCGAGUCUCAUUUCCCAGUACUUCUCUCUCUAAAACUCUCAUUCUCUAUUUUGGUUCACAUAUGAAAUUGCUCUAUUUAGGGUUUUUGAGUUCACAUAGUCUCGACAAUUCAAAAAAGCAACAUUUCAGUUCCCUAAAAUUCAACUACAUUUGAACCUAAACACAUGCAAUCUUUUAGAAAUCAAUUGCAGAUCAACACAUAUCAUAAUUCUCAACUCGAUAUCAGAAAUUAAACAUAGCCAAUUCAAUUAAAAGGAAUAUAAAAACUAUUGAUUCAACUUAUAAAUAAAACAUCAAAUCAUAAAAUUUAAAACUGAAAGACUAACCAUGCAUUGCUGAACACUGAACUGGAAAUCCCAUAAAAUCUGAAUGUUGAUGUUAUUCGAAAUCUUGUUGUUGCCUGCAACCGCUGCAUUUCAGGUAUGAUUAAAAAAAAGGAAUAAAAGAUAGAAAUCAGGAUCUUAACUGACGAAAUGGAGAAACUUACCGGUGAAGAGAGAAUAUUGAAUGCCAAAAAUGAAAAGAAAGAAGAAGAGGGCAGCGUAGAUAAGAUGGAAAAUAGUGAAUCUCAUCUUGUUGGAAGAGAACCUACUUAGAGGAUGAAGAGGUCUCAUGAUUGAGAUUCGUAGACUGAUUUCAAAUCAAUUUUCGUGUAGAUCUCUGCUAUAGCUAAUAGGGGGACUAUGGAUUGUUUACAGUUCCUGCUUCUUGGAGUUGUACCUUCUAGGUUGAGAAUGCCUUCUAUGUGUUUUCAAUAAGUUAUAGAACCACUCCUUUUUCCCAGUUUGAUCUUAGGUUUUCUAUGUCAUAUUGGGUUGUCCAUCUUCUGAACAUGGGCUAAAACAUCAUCUUUGCAUUCUCAAUGAGCCAAAUUCUAGAGUCAUAAUUAAGCUGCUCAGUGACACCUGCAAGGGAGAAAUGAGCUGGUUUCAGGCAAGUCAUAGAACUCAUUGCGAAGAGGUGGAAUUGACUUCCUCCUAUAUGUGAAACAUUCCAACUAGUUUUCAGAUGGUCAAGACUUGAUUACAUUGCAAUACAUGUCUAAAUGUAGAGAGGCGGUUAGAGUAUGACUUGCAAUAGAAACAAAGAAAAUGUAGACCCAUUAAAUCAAUAUCCUGAUGCAAAGAAAAAAAAUUUAUGAGAGAAGCGGAACUAAAAAAUUUAGUUUCUACCAAAUUUAGGAUUUGUAGGCUUUGUAUGUAUCUUCAGUUUCUACCAAUGAGGAUUUCUUUUCAACCAAGAUUAUUGCACUUGAGGAUUUCUUUUUCUUAUUUGUUUAUUAUGCUUUACAGAAUUUGCCUAUAUGAUGUUCAAUACCGAGUUUACAUUUUAAAAUUUUAAUCAUACCAAGCAUUGUCUACACUAGAUAACCAUAUAUUCUUGAUGUUUUGUUCCUUAAUUCUUUUUUUAUUCUUCAUUUUAAUUGUGUGAUUCUUUGUUUGAAAAUUAUUAUUUCUCUAAAAUAUAUAUAUUUUUAAAUAGAGAAUGUCUAGCAACAUUGUUUAACCAUUACAACAACCAAGUGGUGGAGAAAGUAAAAAACAAAGCAAGGCUUAUUGGGAUGAUAUUACAAUGGAUGCUUUUAUCAAAGUUUGUGUGAUUGAGACCUUGAUUGGAAAUAGACCAAAUAAUCACUUUAACAAGUUGGGAUGGAAAAAUGUGAUAAAAGCCUUCAACAAUUUGUUUGGAAGAAACUAUCAAUAUAGGCAACUUAAGAAUAAAUGGAGUUCUCUUAAAAAGGAUUGGGAACUUUGGAAUACCUUGAUUGGGAAAGAGACUGGCCUUGGGUGGGAUCCUAUGAGACAAACCAUCAAUGCAAGCAAUGAAUGGUGGGAUAAGAAAUUGAAGGUAUGUUUUGUUUAUUCAUUAAAUUUAUUUGAUUAAUUUAUAUAUUGGUUAUGAAAUAUGAUAAAUUAAAUACUCUUGUAGGAGAAUCCUGAAGCAAUAAAGUUUAAAACAAAAGGCUUGAAAAAUGUUGAGUAAUUAGACAUACUUUUCAAAUAUAUUAUUGCUACUGGUGAAGGAGACUGGGCACUAUCACAAGGCUUUGUAGGACAAGAUGUUGAUGAUUCAUCUAAGGUGGGGGAACACGAAGAUAAUAUAAUAGAAGACCAAGAUGACUCUAGUUGCAAUCUGCCACUUAAUACUAUCUCCAAUAGUUUUGAAGCUACUACUCAACCUUCUAUGGCAAAAAAGAAUGAAGGAAGAAGAAAGAGGAAAAGAAAUGAAACCAAAUAUGAGCUUGUGGCUAUCCAGUUAGAGCGCAUUUGUAGUGCUGUGGAGAAUAGGUCUUCUAUCUCAUCUAAAGGAGAUAAACCAGGUUGUAGCAUUGCUGAAGUGAUGAAAAUCAUACGUGGGAUGCCUGAAGUGAAGAAUGACUUUGAGUUAUAUAUGAAAGCCACAAAUAUCAUGGUUGUCAAGGAAAAUAGAGAUAUGUUUGUUGCAUUAGAAGACCCAAUUGAUCAGAUUGCAUGGCUUAAACAUAAACAUGUUUGAGUGUUGGAGUUGUUUCUUGUUUUUAUAUGGAAACAUAUUUUUNNNNNNNNNNNNNNNNNNNNNNNNNNNNNNNNNNNNNNNNNNNNNNNNNNNNNNNNNNNNNNNNNNNNNNNNNNNNNNNNNNNNNNNNNNNNNNNNNNNNAAUUGAUCAGAUUGCAUGGCUUUAAACAUAAACAUGUUUGAGUGUUGGAGUUGUUUCUUGUUUUUAUAUGGAAACAUAUUUUUGUUACCUAAUAUUGUUUAGUUGUUAGGUUGAGGGGAGGAAAGAGAUGUUGGUUUGCUUUAUGUGUGAAUUGCAAAAGUCAUUAUGCCCUUAUUUGAUACUUUUUAUUAUUUCUUUCUCUAAAAAUUGUGACUAUUAGAUGAGCUUUGGUGGUAAACUUCUUAUAAAAUUUGGUAUUGUUUUUCAUUUUAUUAAUGUGUAGUUCCUCUGUUCUUUUUUUAUAUUUCAUCUUAGUCAUUUAACAUUUUUUUUUGGGUUUAUUUUUUCUAUAAGAUAUAUUUUUUUAAUAUAGAAUGUCUAGCAAUGGUAGGAAUUCUAAACUUCAAUUGUGUACUUUCUAAUUUUUAAAAAUAACUAUAGUAAUUGAAAAUAUACAUUAUUGUUGUUUAUUAACGUAUUUCUUUUUUUAUUUUUAUUUGUGUAGAUGUCUUCUAAUAACAAUGAUCAAAAUUUUGAUGAUGAAAGCGAUGAUGAACAUGAUUUUUAUCAAUUGGUGCUUGGGGGUUGUGUUGUAGCUGCAACACAUACUAGUUUCAAAGGAAAAAAAACCUUGUAGAACUUCUUCCCACACAAGAUACAAGUUUGUAAUGGAUGUCUUAAAUGGCUAUGAAAUUAGGUGUUUUGAGCAAUUUAGAAUGGAAAAACAUGUGUUUAUGAAUUUCUUAGAAACACUUACUAAAAGGUAUGGCCUAAAAGAAGGUUUUGAUAUGCCCUUAAUAGAGGUCUUAGCAAUGUUUCUCACUACAAUAGGUCAUAGACUAAGCAAUAGGAUGAUUCAAGAAAGAUUUCAACACUCUGGUGAAUCUGUAUCUAGAUGGUUUGAGAUUGUAUUAGAUGUUGUUUGUCUUAUGGCUAUAGAUAUUAUAAAACCAAGUGAUCCACAAUUUAAGGAUGUCCUUGAUAAAAUAAGAAAUGAUGAUCGGUAUUGGCCAUAUUUUCAGAAUUGUAUUGGGGUAAUUGAUGAAACUCAUAUACCUAUUGUGGUUUCCAGAGAUAGAAAAAUACCAUAUAUGGGUAGAAAAGGUAUGGCUACCCAAAAUGUUAUGGCGGUAUGUGAUUUCAAUAUGUGUUUCACAUUUGCAUGGGUCAGAUGGGAAGGCACUGCUCAUGAUGCACGGGUCUUUUUAGAGGCAUUAAGAAGGCCAAAAUUGGGUUUUCCUCAUCCACCUAGAGAUUUGUGAAUGAUAAUAUCAAACUUGUUUUUGUGAUCAAAUUUUUAUUAUCUAAUAUAUAUUUUUUGUUUUUGUUUUGUAGGUAAAUAUUAUUUGGUCGAUGUUGGUUAUCCUCAAAUGAGUGGAUAUUUAGGCCCUUAUAAAGGCGAGCAUUACCAUCUUCCAGAUUUUCGACGAAGUAGUUCACCUAAAGGUAAAAAGGAAAUAUUUAAUCAUAGGCAUUCAUUCUUGAGGUGCACAAUUGAGAGAACGUUUGCCGUUUUGAAGAAUAGAUGGAGAAUGCUACGAGAAAUGCACAAUUUUCCUCUUUAAAAACAAGUAAAGAUUGUUAUUACUUCAAUGGCUCUUCACAACUUCAUAAGGAUUAAUGCUAGAAUGGAUAUGGAAUUUAAACCUUAUGAUGAUGAUCAAGGGUUGCUUCCACUUAAUGAAGAAGAGAGUAGAGUGGAUUCACUUGUUGAGGAAGAUGGUUCACAUCAUACAAGAGAGAUGGAAGAACAUCGUGAUCGAAUUACAAAUCUUCUUAUAUCUCAUUAAUGUUUGAUUAUGACUCUAAUAUCCCUCCCCCCCUCUCCCCCCUUUUUUUUUGCUAUGAAAACAUUUGUUUUCUUAUUUGCUUUUAAUUAUAAUUUUUUUUUGAGAAAUUAAUAGAUAAUCAUAUAUUGUUUUAAUUUGAAAUUUAUCUUUUAUUCAAUCUUUUUUAUAUUGAUUUAGAUGUUUUUUGUAAAUAUUUUUAAAAAUUUUAGUAUAGUGAUAAAAAAUUAUUAAUUUUAAUUAGAAAAGUCUUUUUUUUUAUAGAAAUUAAUAGGUAAUCAUAUAUUGAUUUAGAUGUUUUUUGUAAAUAUUUUUUAAAAUUUUAUUAUAGUGAUAAAAAAAUUAUUAAUUUUAAACUAAUAUAUGAUAUUUAUUAUUUAUUAAUGCAAUUAUUUUUGUAAACAUUUUUCAAAAUUUUAUUUAAAUCAUAAAAAAAAUAUUUUUAGUUUUUUUAACAAUAAUAUAUAUAUAUAUAUAUAUAUAUAUAUAUAUAUAUAUAUAUAUAUAUAUAUAUAUUCUUUUAAGAUACAUGUUUAUAUAUUUUGUUGUAAUGAAAAGUUUUUUGUUUAUCAUACUAUUUUUUUUAAUUAAAAUUGUAUGUCAUUUUUGGUAAUUUAUUAAUAUUAAAAGUGUUUUUUUAUACUUAUACAACAUAUUAUCAAAAACACUAUUAAAAUCAUUUUUUUGAUUCUCAUAAAAGUAUUUUUCAUAGAAACACUACAGAAGAAAACACUUCAAAUAAAAACACUUCCACUAGAAUCACUGCCAAAUAGGCUCCAAGUGUUUCUUCAGAAAAGAUAACAAGUUAUUUUUCAUAUUUUUAAAAGUGCUUCUUAAAAUUUGUCAAAUACUUAAUUUUUUUUUUCAAAAACACUUUUUAGGCUAAAAACGUUUCUUAAAAUCACUCUAAAUGAAUUCAAAGAUUGUAUUUGAUAGUAUUUCCAUUUAAAGUGAUUUUUCAGAUUUUUAAAAAUGUUUUAUAAAUCUUACCAAACAUUUAAUUUUUUUUUAAAAAAAUACUUUUAAGCUAAAAACGAUUUCUAAAAUUGUUGUCAAAUGGAUUUUAAAAAUACAUUCGAUAGUAUUUUUACUAGAAAUGUUUGUAGUGAAAACAUUUUUAGAAAAAUCACCAAUCAAAUAUUUCUCAAAAAACAUUAUAAGUGAUUUUCUAGUAUCACAAGUAAUUCUUCAAAAUUUUAAAAGUAUUUCCUAAAUUUUGUUAGACAACCUUUUUUUUCUUUUUCAAAAACACUUUUUAAUUUAAAAAUGCUUCCUAAAGUUACUAUCAAGCAAACUCUAAUAAACAUAAACUACUUAUAGUUUGAAAAUAUUAUCUAAUUUUUUAAAAGCCAAGUUGAGGCGAAAAAAAAAUUAAUGCAAUUUAAUUAGAUAUAAUUUAUUUAAUUCCUAGAAAAUCAUAGAACUAGUAAAAUAGUACUCCGUUCUCGCUUGUUGGAGAGCUUUGUCAUCUUAAGAUGGGGUGGUGGUAAAAUGAUAACAAAAAUGAAAAUAAAAAUUUAAGAUAUAUUUCUUGAAAAUAAAAUUACAAACAUGCUUAUUUAUUUUUAAUGAUAACAAAAAUGAAAAUAAAAAUUUAAGAUGUAUCUAUUAAAAAUUAAAUUAUAAACAUGUUUAUUUUUAUUUAUUUUUUAAAUCAUUUGUAAUAUUUUUCAAAGAAAUAUGAUUUUGUAAAGAUAAUUUUAAGCAAAUAGUUCCUAAAAAAACCCUAAUAAACACUCUUUUAUGAAUGUGUUUGACAAUAUUUCUAUUUGAAAUAUUUUUAAUCUAAAUAUUUUUAAGAUAAUCACCAAUUAAAGGUUUUUCUAAAAAAACAUUAUAAAUUAUUUUUUAAUACCAUAAGUAGUUUUUCAGAUUUUUAGAAGCGUUUACUAAAUUUUGUUAAAUACUUAUACUUUAUUUAAUAAUUGUUUUUUAAAACAGUUUUGCAGAAUGGUUUUUAAUAACAAUUUUUAAAAAUUAUUGAAAUGUUUUAUAAAAUAAAAGUCUGUUUGGAAAAUUGAAAUGUUUUUAACUUAUUUUUAAUAUUUUUAAAUAUAUUUUAAAAAUAAUUUUAUAUCCCAUACUUUAUUUUUAAUAAUUCUACUUGCUUAAAACAAGUGAAAACAAUAAAAAGCAACUAAAAAAAUAUUCUCCGAAAGCAUGUUUUUUGUUCUUAAAAACAUAAAACAAAAAACAAUUUCUAGUUACCAAACAUGUUAUCUUAUUUUUUGUUCUAAAGAAUAAAAAACUGUUCUCAAAAAGAGUUACUAAACAUACCUUUAGGCCUUAUUUGAUAAUUGCUUUUGAAACUAAUUCUAAAAAAUAGUUUUUAAGAUUAAUUUUUGAAAACCGUUCUCCAAUAUUUUGUUGAAUAAAAAUAUGAUUAGGAACUAAAAUAUUUUUAAUCUGUUUUUAAUAUUUUUAAAAAUACUUUUUAUGUCUACAACUUUAUUUUAAUUAUUAUAUAUGUUUGUAUAAUUAUUUUUUUAAAACAACACUAAAAUAAUAGUGAAAACAACUAAAAGAUGUUCUCUAAAAAUAUUCUAUAUUUUAUUUUUGAGAAAAAAAACAAUUUUUGAUUGCCAAACGUAUUUUCCAGUUUUUUUCCUCUCUAAAAAACAGAAAACUGUUUUUGAAAACAGCUAUCAAACAUACCCUUAAUUUUUUUCAAAAAUACUUUUUAAGUCAUGAUUCCUAAAAUCAAUGUAUAACCUCUAGUUAAAAUUGCUUCUCAAAUAUGAAUUUGAUGACUGUACCGUCCAUGGUGAUCAGUUACCUUACAGCCCAGUCGACCAGGCUAAAUAAUCCAAAAAUAAUAAUAAUAAUAACUUCCAACUACAACUCAUGCCAAAGAAACUUCCUAAAUAUCAACACACAUUCACCACCCAGUCCUAAAUCCUAUAUGGAAUCAAACUGCAUACUGUUAUUUAGAGAUGAUAUUCUGAACCAAACAAACCCAGACAAGAAGCUCCAACCAUGGCUGCUCUGCAUUCAGAAUGGAACCUCCACCGGAGUUACCCCCAUUUUUUCAAGUGCAGAUUGGAACAUCAUACCCACCAUUCAAUCGGUACACCUUACUCUUUUAUAUGGUCUUUGUCUAUAUAUUUGUCUGGAGUGUGGCAUGUGGAUGGUCUAAAUUUGAUAAUCCUUAGCCAUGACCUUUAACAAAGCUACAAAUAUAAUGACCCUCACAGUGAAUCAUCAAAUGUGAAAUAUCAUAAUCAUCCUAUACAUAUAUAAUAUCCUCGUUGUGGCCUUCACGGGUCUAAAACAAACCCCCACACAUGCAAAAGAGGCCAAUUCAUCCACAAGUGGGAGUUUAUAUAUAACCCACUAUAAAUAUGCCCUCAAACAUGGCCUCAUGCAUCCUUAGGGCUUAGAGUCAUCUCCCAGCUUAGGACACUGCAUAAAAAUGAAGAUUUCUCAUUACUACUGCAUCACUAGUCUCCUGCUUCUGAUUCUCUUCUGCUUUUCAGAGGGCUGGCGCGCUGAUCCCACAUAUGGGUUCACUGUUGUGCCCUUGACAGAAUGGAAUUUUGAACUGCAAAAGCCAUAUGAUGUGCCGCUGGAGGAGCGCUACAGCUAUGAAAAUGGAGUAAGGAAGCUGUGGGUGUAUGCUGAUGAUAAGCCCCAUGACCCUAACAGUCUCACUCAGCCACGGACCGAAGUCCGCAUUCGGGUACUCUUCCUCUCUCUUCCUCUGCCUAUACACCAUGCUUAAACACAGUACUCUCAUUGUGAUCUUCUUGCAGGGACUUGACUACUCAUCUGGGGUUUGGCAGUUUGAAGGGUAUGGCUUUGUGCCAAAUGGAACCUCUGGUGUGACUGUCUCCCAGAUACAUGGUGCAGCUCAGGCCGCUACAACUUUGAUUCUGAGGAUCUACAAUGGUGAUAUGAGGUACUAUAGUGCUGAUCUGAUAGCCACUGGUAUGUAUGAUAGGUGGUUCAGGCUUAAUGUCAUCCACGACGUCGAUGGGGGGAAGGUGACAGUGUUCAUCGAUGGCGUUCAGAAAUUUCAAGUGAAGGAUAAAGGGCCAGGAGACUUGUAUUUCAAGUGUGGAGUUUAUGCUGCCCCGGGUAAUAUCAGCUACUGCAUGGAAUCAAGGUGGAGAGACAUCAAGAUUUACAAAAAGUAAUGGUGAAGGAUUGAGAUCUUUGUAGUCUGUAUUGAGAAAACUCUUGAUUAGCUAUUAUGCAGAUGGACUUUUUCUCUCAAAUGAUUUUGGGAAGGACUGAAUGAUCAAGCUUAGUAAGUCAUGGACUCAUUUUCCAAUCAUGAAUCCAAUUUGAGGUCAUUGAAUCAUUAAAAAAUUGGUCCAAAAUCAACACACCAGUUAGGUUCCAAGUAAUAAUAAAAAACUAAGAAACAUCCAAGGAGCAUAGUCCAAUCUAAGUCACAAAAUGUGUAUAAACUAUAUCCUGAUUUUGAUUUGGAAUCAAAUACGCCAUUGUUUCUACUUUAGAAUCGGUGAGCUGGGCCAACUGCUCGACUCUGAGAAGUUGACAAGGAAUAACUGCAACAAGUUUCAGCCAACAGUUGUGUGCAAUGAAUCUUAUGUUCCAAAAUUUCCAGGAUGCUGGAACAGAUGACUGAAACAUCAUCAUGGUUUCAGCCUAAGUGGGCUAUUCCCAGAAAAAGAGAAGCCACAUCUAGAAGGUUAAUGCUAUUAGUUUUUGAAUCAUUCUUCUUAUAAUGAGAAUGCUUUAAUGCCAAAGUUUUUGCAAUGAGAAGCAGUUUUUAGAACCCCACAGAACUUAAAAGAGAGGAAAGCAAAAGGGAUCCAAAACUGUUUUCAUAAAACAGUUUCUGAAAUGUUUCUGUCUUGUAUAACAACCAUGGUUAAAUUAGAUUGUCCAGCUGCAAUCUUGUGCAAGUCCUCUUCCAUGAAUGCGAAGGCGGGCUUGGACCUUCUGUCUUAGAGCCAUGGCUUGCAGAUUCAGCUUAUUAACAGUUGGAAAACAAGUAGACCAGGAUAAGACUAGCUGAGCUGCACUCUUAUAAUACAGCAAAAGAUUAUGUAUCCCUUUUAUGUUGCCUAGCAAAUUUUACCUCUGUUUAUGGUAUUUUUCUUUCUUUUCAAGUUCUCAACUAGAAUCAGUCCAUUAAAACCUAUCUUUUCAACUGUAUUUCAAUUUUCACCAGAUGGUGGAGAUUAUGGCCCUAGAGAUUCAUGUAUUGGCUGGCCCCCAAUUAGCUCCUCAACAAACUUGACUGCUUCUCCUUCAGGCUUUGCUAUUGUUUAAUGUGAGGAUCUGCAUCCUCCAUGAAAAAAACAAAACAAAACAAAGUAGUCUUCUUCAUAGACCCCCUCAAUGAAGUCAAUAAUUUAAUCAUGUAGUACCUAUAAUUUUGAGCAGUAGACUCUAUACUCCCAAUGCUUCCAAGACUACGACAAAAAUAAAAGUUUUAGUACUAAAAAAUUUCUUUCUUUAAGUGUUCUAAAGAAUAUUUGAUCACAAAAUUCAGAUGGAUACUCUCUCCAACUAUAAAUUGAAAUGUCAAUGGAGACUAGGAAAAUUAAUAAGAAAGUUGAUAGUGGGGGGCACUUUCAAGUGACCUUCAUGAAAGGAGAGGAAAUGUUAAACAUAAACAGCCUUGUGUAAUCUUUGGAGCUGAUUAUAAACUUCAAACAAGGCUCUCACAUAGGGAAUAGAUGAUUAAGAAGAUGGUCAAAUACUCAUCUACAUGGUUCUGCCUAUUUUACUCAUCUCUUCUUUGGAAAUUUCACAAGUACUGCCAUGUUGACUGAUGCUGACCUUUUUAACAUGAGCUAUCAGUUUUAAGAAACAUAUGCUGUAACACCCUUUAGACGAAGUAAACUAGAUCGAUUAGGUAUAACAAAGCUCCAAAUUACUAGGCAAAGAUAUGACUGCACCUGGGGACCUGUAUUUCAAAUGUGGGGUUUAUGCAGCACCAGCUAAUUCAAGCAACUACAUGGAAUCAAGAUGGAAGGGAUCAAGAUAUUCAAAAAAUCAAGUCGGGAAUUGCAGUAACUAUGGCUAGAGUCAUGUAAACUUUGUUAUGUUGUUAUCCUAUAGAACUAUAGAAGCUUGUAUACUCUCAUGUGAAAGAAAGCAGCAGUGUAGAACAUGUCAUUUCCAUCUUUAAAAUCAGAAAUCACAGACUUCAGGCUUGUACUAGAGAAAAGAUGACAAAUUAAACAAAACAUAACAAAACAACAUGGGUUGAUGCCUCAUGGUAAGUGGCAACCUCAGCCACUUACAUUCCAGUUUUCAGUCCAUUAACCAUAGAGCCUAAAGCUUGAACAACAGCAUAAGAAAUCCAAAAUUGGGCUCUCUAUCUUGAGCAGUAACAUUUUGCCCAUCUGGGUAUGCCAGCAAGAAGAAGAAAGUUCACAAAAACUACAGUUCUCUCUGGCAUCUUACAGUUCAUUUGGCUUUACAUCAGAAACUUCCUUGGUAGGCAAAUUGCAAAAGAAAUGCAUUCAAGCAACAGCAAAAUUGAAGGGAAGGGAAAUUUUUUUGAAGAAAUCUUAAUUUGUCGUUUGAUAGUGUUAUUGAAAUAGAAAGAAAAUAUGGUGGAAAUCCAAAGGGGUUUGUAGCAUUUGAAACUCUUUAUUCUAAUUUUUCAAAAAAAGAAUCAGUGUGGGAAAAGGAAGAAUAGGCAAGUACCAGUAGAAGCAAAACUACUACGUCAAUAGGAAUUCAAGCAAAUGAUGAUAACUGAUAUCAGCAACACAAAUUAAAUUGAGUAAACAAGCGCGAUCCAUUAAUUCCACAUCCUCAAUUAGGUACUCUAAUCAACAAGAAGGAAGACAAAAGAAACCUAAUCCUCUUCUUAUACAAGCUCAGAAAGGAAAUCUAUGGUAAUAUCUUGACUAUUAUUAUCAAUCACCUUGAACCGAUCUAGAAGGCCAUGAAUGAAAUGAAUGAAAUGCUGAAGUGAAUAUAUUUUUUCUCUCUUUGUUUUUUUUUUUUUUGCUAAAUGGCACAUUUGUACAGCAUUAUGAGGUAAGCGAGAAGCCUAGGAACCACAGGGAAGGCAACACCAUUUCUCAAUCAGAGAAAAGAACCACUGUAGAGGGUUGGGAUCUGUGUCUUCUGAUGAAGAUGCAGUAGGCAGUGGUAGAUGUGGAGGUAAAUGCCGAUGAAAUGCAUCAACUGCAGCUGCUACCCCAUCUUCAUUCUCUAUCAAUUUUGCUAAUUCCAUUGCUUGAGAUUUAACCUGGGAGAAUCAAAACAUGCCCCAUUGGUUUAUCAAUUCAGCAUAUGCAGGCUACCAUGUGACCUCUCCUUGCAUGAAAGUGGAAAACCAAGUGCCUGUUUGGAUAUACUUCCUGUUUUUCUGUUUUUAAAAUCAAAAUAUAGUAGCAACUUUUAUAUAAGACAUAAGAAUUCUUAAAAGCUUACAUUGAAAAAGUAAUGGUUUUAAAAAAUGUUUAAAAACAUUGAGGCAGAAAAAAAAUAAAAUUUAGACCUCAAAGUUGAAAGUUUUAGAAAGUGGUUUUUAAAAAUAAAAGGCAAAUUUAUUACUACAUUCCAAUUUUAAAAAUAAAAGAUGAGAAGUGUAUCCAAACGGACACUAAACAACUAUACUAAAAUGACGUACCAUUCAUGUGCUGAAACUUUGUGACAAACAUAACAAUUCAUUCUAACACAAUAUGCUCAAUUAAGAUGACCAAAACCCUUUUUCCGUUUUUUUUCCUUUUUCUUUGGUGAAUCCCCAGGAUUGUGCUUCAGGAAUAGAAUUCUCACUUUUUUGUAAAUGGUAAAUGUCAUGCAGUAUAAAAUUACUUGCAAGUCUUUAAAUGCUACUUUUAUGUCCCUCAAUCUACAUUGAUUUAAUAGCUAAAUAAACAUGGUUGUCUCAUGAGAAAAAUAAUUUAAACCAGUUUUGCAAGGAUUUUGUUUCUACAGAAGAGGGAAUUAGGCUGAAGACAGUACACAGUUGUAAGUUGUGAGAGCUUCCAAAGAUGACUUAAAUGAUGAAUUUAUAAAGACCUGAGAAAAUAGAAUUGCCUCAUAAUUCUAGAUGGUAGAAUUUCAUUGUUUUCACUACUUAUCUGUAGGUUAAUGCAUUGAUAUGGCUUUGUGGGACCCAUUAAAUAUGUGACAUUUUCAGAUGAUCUUUUCAUGAGCAAUGGAGGAUAUAAUCAUAAUUACCUCUGGCUGGAGCAUGAAUCGUAUGGCAUCAGUAAGGGUCUCAACACUGAGCUGCGAUAUAGGUAUAGGUGCAGGCCCAAGUCCUCUUUGAUGAAUUCUAUCACCCCAGAAGAACUGAUCUCCAAAGAACGGCACUAUGGUUGUUGGACACUGAAAUUCAAAAUUUGGACGUCAAAAAAGACCAAAAAGUGGAAUUAUAUGCAGAUUGCAUGGUGCUAUGAAUGCAUACAAUCAAAAUCACUUAACAGGGAUUUUUCCCAUCAUUAACAUAAAAAUCUUUCAAAACCUUAAAGGCAGAAGUAUCUCAAACAAAUUGAAAAUUUUAAAUGAAUGUCAUUCUCAUAAUCAAGAAUAUCAAAAUUUGCAACAUUCAAUGAGAGAAUAUUACCCCAGCCUUGAGUCCUGUAGCUGUGGUUCCAGCACCACCAUGAUGAACCUGCAUAUUUGUGGCAAUACAGCUUCCAGUUAAUGGUCUGCUUUACAGACAGCAAAUUUACCAUGUUCAGCAAAAGUGCAUACAAAGAAGUCAUGGUUCUUGUCCCUAGAUUUGGAUGGCAUGACCAUAUUUCUCUGAACAAUACCAACUAGCAAUCAUCUGUUUUUAAUUUAAUUUAAUUUAAUUUAAUUUAAUUAAUUAAUUUAUUUUUGGACAAGUAGAGCAGGCCAAAAAGUGGAACUACAUUAAGUAGAGCCUGUCAAAUUCUUAAUUGCUUUAUCAACUAGCAAUCAUCUGUUUUUAAUUUUAUUAUUUUAUUUUUAAUAUUAUUUUAUUUAUUUAUUUUUGGACAAGUAGAGCAGGCUGAAAAGUGGAACUACAUUAAGUAGAGGCUGUGAAAUUCUUAAUUUCUGUACAACUCACCAAGGCAAGAUAAAAUACAACUCACCACAGCAGAACACCGAGGAAACAGCCAAUCAUGGGGACAUUCCUCCAGAAGAAAAACAUAAUCAGGAACUUCCGGAACUGUAGAAUAGAGGCUGAAGUAAGUGAAUUACCUAUUAAAAGGAGAUACAAGUUUGGAAUUCAAAACAACACCAUCUGUAUUUGAUUUUUGAAUAACACAUCAGGUAUAAUUGACAAUGUUCUUAGGUUUUUUUUUGUUUUUUUUUAUUUUUUAUGUUGAACACUUCUAGAGGAUCUUCAGAAACCUCUAUAUGACAAAGAAAAACAAAUCUCAAUAAGAACCUAAGGUAUUAUGAAAAACAUGAUGUAGAUUUUUUAUGAUGAUGAACUGUUCAAAUAAAACAAAAGUUGAGGGAGAGAGAGAAGUGAGGUCCCAAAACAUAACGAAAAAACAAGAAAUUUCAUUAAAAACUCAAAACAUUAUGAAAGAAGAAUCUGUAUCCUUUUUAUUAUGAUCAACUGUUCAAAUAGAACAAAGAGUUGAGAGAGAGACAGAGAGAAAACAAAUGUGAACACUAGGUUUAGAGAGAUGUGAAAUGGAAUAAGGGUAAAAUCAGAAGUAUUUUGAAGUUUUUUUAGAAUUCUGAUACAUCCACUCCAUAGAGAAGAUGGCCUUUGAUAUAGUCAAACCCAAGUAUUUCCAAUUAUUACAAAAAGAUCUUCAGAUCAAAUAGAUGAAAAGAAUGAAUCAUUGUUUUUGGCUUUUUCUUCAAACUUCACAAUGAAUCAUUGUUUCAUCCCCUUUUCUUCAACAAGUCAAUCUUGUAUUCCAAUGUUCAGGAUCACUUCAGAAAGAAUCAACUAAAAUGAUUCUACGUAGAACUCAACCAAGUCCAAGUGGUUUUUGGCCACAAUUCAACACGGGGACAUCAGAAGAUGAAAAGAAUAUCUUUGUGAAACGUUUGAGAAUUAACCUAACAAACUCAAAUGCAAUCUAGUUAAAAGUCUCUUUCCUUAACAUUUGGUUUCUGAGUGAAACAGUUUGAACAACAAAAAUGAGCCCCUUAAAAAGUAACUUCCUUGAAUCAGGCAAAUAUCACUGAGGCUUCAUUUUGAGAAGUACCAAAUUGUGAAAAUGCAGUUACAUGCACAAUAAGAAUAUGAGCAAUAAAGCAGAAGCCUCUUGCAGUUAUUAUGUCUUGAUUCAAGCACAAUACAAGCUUUAUCAAUGUUUAACACAAAAACACCUAGAUUGAUAAGACACAGGAAAAACUGAAAAUUAUUCUUAUUAGUGGAGAGCAAAGCAGGCAACUGACCCUAAGUUGACAAAGGCAUAGAGUCCAUGAAGGAAUGCACAUCAAACCAGAAGCUAUUACCAAGCAAUAUGUAAUUUUGCCAAACACUCAGAAUUUAAGAUAUAAAGUGAGAAAAAGUGCAACAGCUUAGCACCAAUAAGAAGACACUCACGAAUUCCAAGGCCUCCCCAACCUCGGUCAAUUACUCCCCUCUGACCUGUAUCUUUCAAUGCCUUUAAUAUGAUAUCCGUAGUUUUCUUGGGAUCUUCAAGAGGCUUAACAAGAAACAAAGUAAUCUUUUCAAUUAUAAGCUUUUCAAAAAUAUCAGCAGAAACAGCAUGUUCUACAUGCCAGCAAAAUGAAUCAUGAAUAGAAUAGAAAGUUUAUAUAGAAUCCUUACACCUGUAGAGUAUAUGAAGACAAACAAUGAACUCCACCCAUCACAACAACAAAAUUUUAAAAUUUUGAAGGAAGAAAUUUGACUUAGUAGGUUCAAUAGUACAAGUUAGAAGAAGACUGUUUCUACCGACAUUAUGAUUGCCUAGACUGUCUGAUAGAGGAUUAAGUUAAUUAGUCAUCAAGAUUUUAACUAGGAUACCAUGGCGUGGUUCUGGUCAAUGAAACCCAAGCGAUACAAUGUUGUGGCCAAUAGAAAGACAAAUGAAAGAAAGAAAAAAAUGCUAUAACACAAUCUAGAGAAAAAAAAAUUUAGCAAUUUAAUUUACCUAAAAUAUAUAAGUUAACAGGUUUACUUGAUCAUCAUACCCAGGGUGAAAACCCUCUGUUGCAUAGGAACCAACAAGAAGCACAAAUCAUAAAUCCUUUUACCAAUAGUUUGAAGUAAGAUCACCAUACCAUGCUCCCAAAACCUAUAUAUAUAGGUUUGUCUCCUUUUUGGAUCCACUGAACAAACUCUUCUUGAGGUUGAUACCUGGACCCAAGGUUUAAGAAACAAUAGCCAACAACAUCAACUAAGGAGCCCCAAUCUGCAUUGAAGAAGUUUGGGAGGUAUAAGUGCAAAGUGCCCACAUGAAUAAAGCUGGAUAACGCUUCAAUUUGAUUAAAGUUAACACAGAACCAUGGCCUAGAAUUACUUUUAGGUGCCUCACCAUGUCGCAUUUUAAUUUGGUGAGGGAGAAGAGGAUUAGAAAAGCAGUAGUUAGUUACUGAACAAUCUCCCAGUUUAACUAAAAACAAAACAUCAGAUAAAAUACAAAAAGAAGUAUUGGCUACCUUCUAACAGAAAUAAUUGGCCCUUCAUUUUAGCAUUGGAAGCCCUAAAGUCAAAAAAUAUUGGCAAUACUUCCCCAAUAAUUUUUUAUAUUCUUGUUCUUAUUAACAAUCACCUAAGACGAGGUAAAGGGAACCCAAACAACAUGUAACAUAGGUGAUGUCAAAAAGAAGAAGAAUAACUACAUGACAUACAGCAGAUUGAAGGACAAAAAGGCUGUCCAGGCAUCAAUUUUUUUUGUACGGGCCAAAAAUAAAGUAUGAAAUCUAAGAGACCGUGUAGUUCAGUCAUUAUCAACAAAAGAAACAUAAAAUGGCUAAAUAUAAAUCUCAUAUUAUAGCAUGUUAGUUUGCACUUUGUAUAAACAAAGCCAUUUUCACCUUUUGGUUUUGACACAACAUGGGGACUCCACAUGUAGCCUGUUGGCAGAUGAGAUAUUGACCCAUGGUAAGUACUGAAGUAUGCAAUAGGAGGAAGCUUCAACUUCUUUUUCCUGAAGUCAUUAAUAUAUCCUCUUAUGCCCCACCAUAUCAGCAAAUCCACAACUAUAUAUGAAAGCUGGAUCCAGCAAACAGAAAAUAAGGAAGAGAUAUUUGUAAGCACAUCCAACAAGGGAAAAUGAAAGAAAAGAAAGAAAAGAAAGAAAGACACCAAAAAAAAAAAAAAAAAAAAAAAAAACAAAUGCAGAAGAAUCUGGCAGUAAAGAAAAUACCCAAUAACCAGCACUUCGAGGUACACGAGCCAAUGGAUGAGAAAAUUCAUAUGUUGGCCUGCCUAUUGAAAGCAGAUGUAAGAAGGCAUUGCCUCGUAUAAUGUUCUCCGCAAAAUAAAUAAAAUUUUAAAACAAUGCCUUUGUAGUACACAACUAAAAUUUAGCUCCAUUUGCAUUAUUGGCUAAUUCCCUAAGACCUUAGGCAUUAGGGCACAUGAUAGUCUAAUAAAAAAAAUGUCUCUUCAUAUAAACACUUCCUUUUUUUUUUUAAUGUUACUUUGAAAAUACGAACAGCAACUUAUCUUAACAGAAAGAUCCAGAUUAUUUGUGCACUCAUUUUUUUUUUUCUUUCCAAUGAAUGUUUAAAGAGCAUGCCUUUGGCACACAAGUGUAUUUGCUUGAUUGGCAUUAUUGGCUCAUUCCCUAAUACCUUAGGCUUUGGAUAAGCAAUAGUCUAAUAGAACAGACUUCACUUCAGUUAAACAAUUUGAUUCAUGUUGCUUUGAAAAUAUCAACAGCGAUGUAUUUUCAGAGAUAGAUACUUCCAGAUGAUGAGUUCACUUGUUUUAUCUUCUUUCCAGUGAGUCUCUGUUGAGUGUGGAUGAGAAGAUGAGAAGCAUGUCUUUCUCACUAAGAAUAAACAGACAGGGCCAAAACAUCCUACUGCUAAGAUAACAGACAUUAGGUAAAUGAGACAAUAUUCCAGCCUCUCAGCCCCAAGCCAUAUUGCAAACUAGUUGGUUUUGAGGUUGCAAUACCUGAAAACUACAUCUAUUUUAUAGGUUCUUGGCAGUGGUGGAGCCAGAAAGCUUGGUUGGGGGGGCAAAAUUGUUCACAAAUUUGAAAAAUAUGAUAUCCUUCUUAUCCUUUUAAGGAACUAAGUAGUUUAUGUAUUUAUAAAAGUAUACAAAAAUAUUACAUUAAAUCUGCAACUUUUCAAUAAUGUUGGCAAAAAAACAAAUAUUAAAAGAAUUAAAAAAUGAUUAGAAAUAUAAUUAGAAAAUUUUCAAUAUUUUUUCAUUAAAAAAUCCUUCAAAUUUUUUUUCAAUAAAUUUCAUAAUUUUUUUUAAUAAAAUUUGAGAUUUUUUUUUCUUGAAUAAGUAUAAAAUCAAUUGAAAGUGAUGAAAUCUUUUACUUAAAAAUUACCGAUUAUUUAGUAAGAUCCCUAACAUUCAAUAUCUUGAUAUUUAAACCUUUAAUAAAUUCAUAUAUCAACUUAAAUAAAGUAUAAAUAGUUACAAAGAAUUUGAUACUUAUCAUUGUGUACUGUUCAAAGUAUUUUAUUGGUUAUAUUAUCUUCAAUGGCUAAGACUAAAUAUUGAUCCAAUUAAUGUGAAUAAAUUUAAAAUUUUUAAAUGAUGGAAGAGAAUAUACCAUGAAAAAAAUUAUUUAAUAAAACAUAAGGUACAAAAUGAUAAAAAAACUUAAUUUUAUUCAAAAAAAAAUUAUAAGAUGGAAAAAAAAUUAAGAUAAUGUUAGCAUAUGAGAAAAUAAUGAUAAAGAUAGAACAAAAGGAAACGAUAAGUAGGGAUAUUAAAUAUAUUUUAUAAAAUAUUUUAUUUUUUAAAUUUUAUUUAACUUAAUAAAGUAAGGGUUAAUUUCACUCAUUUAGAUUAAAUAUACUAAGCUCAAUGAGAUCUAGAUUAAACACUUAGCCAUUAUUGACUUGAAAUUUUAUUAAAUAACUCCUUUAUUUUAAGGUGAAAGGAAAACAAAUGAAUAGGAUAAGGGAGGAUAUUUAAUGAAAUUUCAAACUAAUGGUGGCUAAAUAUAUUCAACACAAACCUCAAGGGAGAUGAGUGAAAUUAAGAGUGCGUUUGAUAGCGUUUUUACUUAAAGUGUUUUUAGUGGAAGUGUUUUCUUUGUAAGUGUUUUUAGGAGAAUCACCUAUCAAGUGUUUCUCCAAAAAACAUUGUAAGUGAUUACUCAAUACAAGAAGUGAUUUUUCAAAUUUUUAAAAGUGUUUCGUAAAUUUUGUCAAACACCUAAUUUUUUUUUUUCAAAAACAUUUUUUAGGCUAAAGGAACUUCUUAAAAUCACCAUCAAACAGACUCCAACUCUACAAAGUAAAUUUACUUUUUAGUUUUAUUUAAAAUUUAUAAUAUUAUUUUUAUUUAAACUUUUUGUGGUAUUUGAAAUGUAAUUAUUAUUUUAUAUUUUAAACAUUCAAAAUUAAAUUUAUAUUUAUAGGGUUCAUUUCUAUUUUUUUUUUAAAUCUCUAGUUAUAUAUAAGAUUUUUUUUUUUUUUUUUUGGAAUUUGAUGGGAUAAUACAUAAGAUUUUUUUCGUCCUUUUUUUUUGGGGCGGAUGCCCCAUCGGGCCUUUACUAGAUCCGCCUCUAGUCCUUGGCACAUAGACUGCACAUUUCUAAUAUUUAAACAAAAAAUAUAUGUGUUAGCCUAAUGAUAUCGAGGGCCUAAAUCAUAACAGCUUAAGCUUUUAGAAAAGUCAGUAACCUAACAAUAUGCAACAUAUGUUUCACAAGUGAAGGAGGCACCUAUCACAUAUUAAGCAUAAGGCAGUGCCAGAGUUGUUAACAUGGUUCUUAGUAGCAUAUUUCUGAAUGAGCGGUUCCACAUUCAAAUUAAGAUGCAAGGAAAGUCUAGUUGAAACUCACGUCCAAGGCAUUGUGAAGAAGAUAUGGAGGGGUAUACCAAGAGCUUCAGCAACAUGUGCAUGUCCUACAACUCAAAAAUAUUUUAGAAUUCCAACGUACAUAGUUCAGAAAAAGCAAUGACAAAAGAAAAUAUAAUUAUUUAUCGAAAGUAGAGGAUACAGAGUUAUAAACGCAUCCUUAAGAACUAUAAUGAAUUGAUAACCAAGCAUCAGUUCACAUAACAUUACAACUAAGUUUCUCCAUAAUAACAUGAACAAAAUGAAUUGUCAAAGAGAGUUACAAUAGGACAACAAAAGAUAGGAGACCUAUCCUGACAAGGCCAAUAAAAUUUUUUUAUGGUAGCCCAAUUGUCAACCUAAUGCAAUUUGUGUGAAAUCAAGGUUUGGUUAAUCUCAGUUUUGAUAAUAACAAAACAAGGUUUGGAAGUAAAAAUUAUAUUUCAAGUGUGAUUAGGCAAAAAAAUUUCCAAAGUGGCAAUCACAAAAACAAAAUCAAGCUAAGAGUAAUCAAUAAGAAGAAAAGAUCUCAAAGAGAAGUGUUUUUCAAGAUCUAAGCUUUAUAGGAUCUCUUUGUAAGGUUGUUGGUGUGCUAGGUCUUUCAUGCAUUACAUUAUUAAUUUACGCACCAAAAUCAUUCAAAAGUAAUUUUGUUUUAAAAUUGGACGAUUUCAUGUUUUCAACUAAAACCUUACGUUAAAUGUUUUCCAAACUUGUUUAAAAGGUUUUAAGUUGAAAAUGAUGAUUGUUGAGUCAAAAAUGGCUUAACCGGUUAAAUUGGAUGAGGAACCGGUCGACCUAUUUAACUCAACCGAUCGAAGGGUGCAAAAACCUUCUCUCUCUUCCAGAACGCUUAUUCAACAUGUCAAGGUUGAACCUCAACCAGUUGAGGUCCGGUCAAGGGGCAGUCAAGUUCCAACGGUCACCUGCCAAACAUUAAAUACUAACGGCUAGUCAACCGAUCGACCUUCAACUUGACCGGUCGAACCCCCAAUGGCUAGUUUGGUCAUUUUCCUCUAUAAAAAAAGCUUUAAUCUUCAUUGUUUCAAGAGCUUAACCUUUCUAAACUUUUCCCGAAUAUAUUUGAGUCUUGGGAAAGUGUUUUUGAGUGCACUAUUAUUCUAAAACUUGCAUAUCAUUAGUGCACCUUUCAAUAUUAGUUUUUCUUGUACAUUUGAGCCUAAAGUUUUGUACUAGGAUUUUGUGAUAAUAUUUCCUAUCUUCAUUUGUAAAUCUUUGAGAAGAAAAGUCUAAAUGUGUGAUAUCACUUAGGGAUUCUCAAGUGUGGGGUAUCACUUGAGGUGUUGUUCAAGAGUGGGGUAUCUCUUGAGGAUUGUAAAGGGUGCUUGGAGCCAAAAGUCCAAGAGGGUGAAUUGGAAUCAUAAUCCAAUUGUAUUGCUUGAAGGCUUGGUUUGGAAACCUUGAAAUAGUGGAACCUCAAGCUUAGGAUUGAAGCUAGAGGAGAGUGGACGUAGGCCAAAUUGUGUCGAACCACUAUAAAAAUUUUGUAUUUGCAUUCUCUCUUCCACACUUUUUUACUUAUCUUUAUAUUGUUUUAUUAUAUAUUUGCAUAUAAUUGUCUCUUGUAUUCAUAUAAUUUAAAUUUGCGAAAAGAGACCAUCACUCUAUUCACCCCCACACCUCCCUCUAGGGUGAUUACCUUAGGUUAGAUUAGCCUAAUUUUUCUAACAAUUUGGUAUUAGGGAAAUUGGGGACAAUGGCUAUGGGAAUAGAGCAGGAAAGAACACUUGAGUACCUAGUAGUGCAGAAAGAGUUUUACAGGUGUCCAGAAGAAUGGAUCAUAACAACACAAGCUAUAGACAACUAUAAAUAUUUAUUCUUCUAAUAUUAAUGAUGCAAUCAUGAUAUGGUUGAUUUCCAAUCCAAGAUGGACUUUAUGACUUAGCCUAACAAGGGUUGAAGUCCCUUUCAUGUGCUUUAAUUAUCUCCCUUACUUUUUUUUUCCUAGCGGCUUUAUAUUUUUACUAAGUAGGAAUAUCUCUGUCACACUUUACCAAAAAGUGACAUGCUUGCUUAAGGGUGAGUCUGCCUGGACACCUUAAUUAAGGAGAAUGAAGGCUAAGAUAUGAUUUCAUUAGGAUUUCCCUAAGCAGAUUGUAGGAUUGUCUUGUAGCCCUUUGUGCCACUGUUUUCAAAGAGAAAAAGAAGAACUUCUAAAGUUCUCAAGGUUAGGACAUUCAGCUCUGUUCUAAAGAAAAUUAUAAGCCUUUCAUUUUCUUCUUUCUUUAUCAGCAUUUAACCAUGACCUUGUGAUGUAUGGUAUAUACUGUGCUCAUGUACAUAAAUACAAUCAAUAGAAAAAUAAAAAACAGAAGGGCUAGAAGACGAAAAUAAAGGUAUAACUUCAAUGAACUCACCAUAAGCAGGAGGGUUUGCAAUAAUUGCCUGAGCUCUAAAAGGCACACCAGUUUCUAUAUCUGGUUCUAUGCAUGCUGGAAGAAGAGAUUCAAUAAUGGCCUUUAGCUGCUUUCUUUGUACAGAUAGUUCUCCUGGUCCAGCUGGAAUGAAACCUUUAUUUCUGGCCAUAUCUAAAAAUUAUAAAAACCCGUACUUACUAAUUGAAAAAAACAAAAAAAACAAAAACAAAAACAAAAACAAAGAGAAACCAAGCUGAUAAUAUCAACCAUAUUUCUGAAAUAGUUAAAACAGAGCUUGGGAAUUGAAGGCCUUUGUCUCAAGAGAUUGAAAUCUUGAUCUGUAUCUCACUUCUCACCAAAACAAAAUUUGUACAUUGUUUCUAGAGGUAACCUUAAUAGCAGGGCACCGAUUUGCAUAAAGCCCUAGUUAAAACAUUAAUUUGUCCAUUACAUAAAACUGUUAUGUCUUGCUUGGCAAUUGUUUUCAAGAACAAUAUUUUAUUCUCCAAAAUAAAAAAUAAAAAAUAAAAAAGAAAAACAGGAAAACAUGUUUAAUAAUCAGAAAACUGUUUUUCUUUUAUGUUCUUAAAAACAAAAAACAUGUUUGUUUUCAGAGAACAUUUUUUAAUUGUUUUCACUUGUUUCCUGAGGUAUUUUAAAAAAUAAUUGUAUAAAUAUGAAAAAUGAUUAAAAAUAAAGCCCCAUAUAUAAAAAUUAUUUUUAAAACAUAUUUCAAACCAUUAAAAAUAGGUUAAAAACAUUUCAAAUUUCUAAAUAACCUUUUUUUAUACAAAACAUUAGAGGACAACUUUAAAAAAGUAUUCUCAAAAAUUGUUUUUCAGAAUUGUUUUCAAAAACAGUUGCCAAACAGGCCCUUAUCGUUCCAUCUAAUAAAAAGAAAUCAUAUACAUGUAUUAAAUUGCAGUCUGCCAAGGGUCCGUAAAGGCCAUGGCAAAACAGGUAACAGAAAGGGAUAAUUGUGAAAAGGAGGGUCUAAUAUAAAGUGAUCUACUAAUAAAUCAUCAUGAUAAAGCAAAUCAAAUUUUGUUGGAAAAAAAUAUAAAAUUCCAAAACUAAGAGCCUCUUACAUCCUGCCAAAACCCGAGGAUCACCACCCAAAGGAUAGAAGUCCACACCAGCU